AAUGGCAAACCUGAAUUUCAAUGCUCUCAGAGACUUGCAUAACUCAGCUAACGACCUCCUGCACUCACCAAUAAUCAAGCGAGCGCUUGUUCACCAAGGUCAAGAACAAUGGGUUCAUCAAGUGUCCGAAUCAUCUCUAAGGAUGUUGGAUGUUUGUGGCAUUUCCAGGGACAUUCUUUUACUUGUCAAGGAACAUGUACAAGACCUACAAUUCACUUUGCGCCGUGUAAGCACCGAUGAGGCUGAUAUUGGAACCAAAAUAGCAGUUUACAACCGAUACUCAAAGAAACUAAAGAAAGAGACCCUCAAGUGCUUGCAAUCAUUGAAAGGGAUGAGAAACAAGCCCAUCAUCACUUGUGACAUUGACGACAACCUGACGGUGGUUGUGGAUGUGCUAAGAGAAGUGAGUGCGACUGCCAUAUCUGUGGUGGAGUCGCUGCUUUCCCUCAUUUCUAUUCCUUGGUUGGAAAGAAGGUCAAGUAAAGGGUAUUUGGCAGCCAAGUUCAUGAGAUCGAGUUGGCGGAGAGUUUAUGAUGUAAGCGAUGAAAUGGCAGUUCAAAGCGCGAAUAAAAGAUUGGAGGCAGUGGAAAUAACGAUUGAGGAUCUUGAAGCUGAGAUAGAGUGCAUGUUUAGACGUUUGAUUCAGACUAGAGUUCUACUUCUUAACAUACUUACCAACUAAUUAAUCAACAUAUACACAAUAUAAAUAUACUCUCUCUCUUUUUUUUCUUUUUUUUUUUUCCUCUUUAAUUUCACUGUGAAUUGCCAAACUUCAUGGUUUUUACCUUAUGGAUCUAAUGCUAAUUAGAACUAAAUAGCUAGAUAGGCUGAUUUAGUAAUUGAAUAACCUUAUGCUGUUGUAUUCUUUCAUUCUUUUAAAUAAAUAACCCACUCCUGUGCUUUACAUUUUCAAAGUGAUUGUGUAUUUAAUAGAAAUUGAAACUCAAAGCUGAAAUAAAACUAACUAGGUCAAAAUUCAGUCAUGAUCCCAUUUAAAUCCUUCACAAACAUUUAUUCUCAAUAGUGGUUGCAACCCUGACUUGAAGUUCUACAACUCUUACUCUCUUUCAAAUUCAUCCCUAUUUAAAAUAUAAUAAUUCGUUGUCUAAUUUAAUUUAAAAAUUUUAUAAUAUUUGAUCCAAUUCAAUUCAAUUUUUGUUGCUUUAAACCAAUUCUUUUAAUAAAUUUAUUAAGCUGGAUUCAUUGAUACCGUGUGGAUCUUACAAACAUAUAUAUUUAUAUACGGUUUACGUAUGUUAGUUGCUAACAAAUCAUGCUUUGUUUACAAACAUAUAUAUUUAUAUAUGGUUUACGUAUAUGAGUUGCUUUGCCUACAAAUUUUGAGUUAAAAUGAACUUGGGAGACUAGAAUUUAAUUAAGAAUUAAAAACAUAAAUAUGUUAAGGUGAAUAGAAUCUAAUUUCGAUUUAUCCAAUUAUCAUUCAAAAUUAACUUAAUUUAUUCAAAUUCGCCUUAAAAAAAUGUAACACUAUCAAGCCGGAUCGAAUAGAUUUUAUAUAUUUUUUUACAAUCCCUACUUCUAAAUUACUUAAAUUUGAGUUCAAGAGUAAAACUUGCAACUCUUAGUUUUCUCCCUUCAAGAGUCUCGUUUUAAUUGAGCUAACCAGCAGUGGUUAAUUUAAGCAUAGUGGUAAUGUUUGAUUAAUCAUCUAGAAAUGGAUAAUUGAUUUGCACAUGUUUAGCUAUAUAUCAGGAUUCAGCCCCCCAAAGCAUCCAACAUAAUAAAUUGCUUAUAAAUGUUGACACAGCCUGGUUGGAUACCCAGCCUAAUGCAACAAUUGAUUCUGUACGACUAUGGGAAAUAAAUAAAUAUAGGCGGUGGUUCGCUGUCCCCUAAAAUGCGCAUGCAAUGGGGACGAGGAUGAUCAGGUUUAAUUAUUCUUGUUUCGUAUGCGUAAAUUGGCAGCUUAACAACUAAACAUAAUUGGCUGCCCACCAAUCAAAGCAGGUGAGGGCAGAAAUUUAGGUCGACUGUAUAACUGAAAGACAAAGUACAUCACUCACAAUCAAUACAACUAAUUUCGUAGAUUAAGGUAUAGUUAGAGUUUGUGGGUAUAGAUUUAAAUUUGUAAAUUUGAGCAUAAAAUAUUUUUAAACUUGUAUAUGUGGAGUACUGAUAAAGGUUUUGUAUGCAAAUUUUCAUCAAUCUCUUUAAAUUCUUGGUUUCUAAUGUAACACUAAUGAUAUAAGUAAUAAAUUAAAUUUAUUUAUUUAUAACAUAAAAUUUAAAAAAAAAACUUAUAAAACAUAUCCAAAUAAAAUAUAUCAACAAACUCAGAGUUAUAGUCAUACAAUUAUAAUAUUGUCAUAUAUUUUGGACUUGGAUUUUAAAUAAUAAGUAUUAUAUUUAUGUGGGUGAGAGUUUAUUUGAAUUUGGGUAUAAUAUAUUUGAGUUUGAAUUUAGAUAUAAAUAUUUUGAAUAUAUAAAAAAAUUAAUAAGGUUACACGUUUUAACCAUAAUCUCUCCAAUGGUCCAAAAUCAAAGUGAAUUUUUAAUCAUCAUCUUUUGCUUAUCCAUAGAAACAUAGACCACAGGUUUAAAUUUUAGGUUUAUAAAUUUAAUAAAAUAUUUUUAAUAUUGAAAACCUAAUGAAGAAAAUUAAAAAUAAUUGAAAUGUAAAUGUGAUAUAUAAUAAAUAAUAAAUAAUAAAUUAUAUUUUUAUUAGCUCAAAAGUUGUGUAUAGAAUAAUUACACGUUAGAUUAUAAUGUAAAGUUGCCAUAAUAAAUUAUAUUUUAAACUUGUUACUUAGAUUAUACUUGUAUUUUCUGAUUAGGUAGAUUAAGUCAUUCUUGGCUUUCAACCAUUUGACCUUUUUCAUUAUCUUCAACCUCGAUUUGCUAGUGCGUGGGCUCUAUUUGCAAAUCAAUGAAAACUUUUAGUAAAACUUUAGGGCUAGAAACCAAAGAUCAAUUUUUUUUAAAUAUAGAAUUUGUUCUUAAAAUAACUAUAUUUUGACAAAAUGUCGAUGUAAAGAAAUUUGUUAUUUGACCUAGCCCUUAGUCUCUAUUUAUAGUGAAAAUAACAAAAGUCUUAGUAAAAUAAAAAAUAGCCGAAUAAUGAUAUUUUAAUAGGAAAACAUGAUUACUACUAGGAGUGUGUUACAAGGGGCGGUGAAACCCUCUUUAGAACUUAGGGUUUGCUGCCCCUUCCCUUUAAAUCAAGCCUAUUAGGCCUCUUCAUGUAUUGAGUCAAUUAUAUGUGUUAUCUAGUCUUUAAAUCAAUUCAUAUAAUUUAGUCAAUCGCGAUAAAUGUAUUUCCUAUGCCCAAAAUACAAUUUAUUCAUUUAAUUAAUUAAAUUAAUUAAGUUAUUUCCUCAACCCAAUUCUGUUUUCGUUAAAAUCAUGACGAUUUUACCAUAUUAGAAUCUAUGAGCAAAUUAAUUUAAUUAACUUGUUCUCAUGAAACUACGAUGACUUAAUUAAUUUAAUCUCCACUUCGAACUUUAAUUAUUUAAUUACAAAUUAAAUAAUUAUUAGAAGAAAUUAAUUUAAUUCUUGAGUCAUCCUUUUUUUAUAGUGAAAAACAUAUUCAUUAUUUAUAGUGAUACAUGCAACCUAUUUCUCUUACUUCAUUGUUUCACAAAUUUUCAUUUCAUCAAUUAAUGCAAACCAUCAAGGUUAUAUCGAGUUAGGGGAGGGACCGAUUGGAUAUAUAAAGUUAGAGCUCAAAUAAUUUGUAAUUAAGUUACGACCCUACGUCUAUUAAUAACAAUGUUAUUUAGCCGUGGAGUUAUUCACAAUUUUUUAUUUCAUCAAUUAAUGCAAACCAUCAAGGUUAUAUCGAGCUAGUGAAGGGACCAAUUAAACAUAUAAAUUUGAGAUCAAAUAAUUUGUAAUUAAGGCUCAAACCUACGUCUAUUAAUUACAGCAUUAUUUAGUUAUGGAUUCAUUCCACUAAAGUGUAAUGAAUGAGUUCCCCCUUCCAACCCUCUAGCUCCACCAUUGAUCUUCCUUCAUGAAAUAUCAAUUACUAACACAUAGCAAUUAAAUAAUUCAUCUUAGGACAAAUGUCCCGUGGCCACAUUACUUUCCAUCUAUUAUGUAAUGUCAAUGAGAGGAUAUCAUUUACCUUUUAUUGGGAUAUGAAUUUCACUAGUGUAACUGAAGUUAUGUCAUGCAAAAGUCAAAUACCCAAGUAACAACUUUUGGCUCUAUUACCAAUUGAACUCAAGCUAUCAAUACAUCAAAGUAUAAGAGUCAUGCACACAUAGUUCAUCACUUACUCAAGAUUUAGGCAAGCCACAUUAUGAACAUCACAAAUGAAUAAUUCAAUAAACGGAUCUAGGAUUUAUUUUACUUGAGUCUUGUCCAAUGUACUAUCAGUCCAAUCAGUCACGUAUGUCUUUAUAUUCUAGGAGUCAUCCACUCUGAUGCCUAAGACGGGAUAUCUCUCCGUUUGGACUAAAUAGACGACAUAUUAUUCUUUUAACUAACCUGUUCAAUUUCAAUUAGACUAAGGACUUAUUUAGAUUAUCUAUUAAUACAAAAAGAUAUAUCUUCCUGUAUUACGAUCCGAACACGUAAUGCAACUUAGUGUUAGUUAAACACUAAGAUAAUCAAUGAGCAAUAUUUGUUUUCAUUUUGCUUUGUAUGUAAAAAUUGUUGAGGACAAUAUAUAAAAGAUAUUAAUGAAAAUAAUAGUUUUAUUUAUCAAUUUAUUUGAAAAAUUACAAGUACAUAAACAUAAUCACUACACUAAUGACAUUAGAUCCCAACACUUUUGGGGGUGAUUCACUACUUAAAUUUUAGACCUUCUAGUUCUCUUUGAAAAGGUUUUUGAAUUUCUUUAUUUCGUGCACUAUAGCUCGAGAUAUGAUCAUUUUCGUAAGGUAGUGUGAUUUCCUAUAGGAAGUUCAAGAUUAAUUGUUGGGUUUCGUUUGGGUUACUUUGGCUUGACUUUCUGAGAUCAUCUAACCACAUUUUGGGGUGAUUCUUGUGUUGAAAUUGUAGAUUGUCGAGUCUUCUUUGAAAGUUCAAGAUUAAUCGUUGUGUUUCACAAAGGUCAAUUGGACUUGACUUUCCAAAACCUUCAGACCACCUUUUGGGGUGAUACCUAUACCGAAAUUGUAGAUAUUCAAGUCCAUUUUGCAAUGAUUAUUGAAUCACUAGAUUUACAUAUAUGUAGCUCAGGAUAUGACCCUUUUCCAUAAAGAAGUGCAGUUCCCCGCAAACAGUUCAAGUUCAAUCACAAAUCAACUUCUCCAACUUGUUAAAUUAUACCAGAACACAACUAGGUACUAAUGUCAUUGGCCGCAGGUCGAAGCCCAUGAUGAAUGCACAGAAAAUGUCUUAUGAAUGUCAACUAAUUAAAUGGGGCUCAUUUGACUAAUUUGAAUUGGCUCGAUUCGUGAAACGUAUGAAGAAACUCAUCUACUUGAAGUCUUGGUGGCCCAGUGGAACACUCCAGUAAAACCUGAGUUGUCAUGAUUAAUAUUUGUAAUCCUAAGGGAUAAUAUUGUAUAGAGUUUAAAUCUCUUAGGACUCUUAUCUUGUAAAUAGGCUUUGAUCUUGACUGUCGAUGUAAUUUAAAUUGUACCGUUAGAUUUGGGGGGCUCAACUAUAAAUAGAGACAUUCUCCCUCAUUUGUAAUCACUCAAUUGUAUUCCUUCAAAGUAAUAAGAACAAUUAAAAAGUAUUUACUCAAACACUUGGUGUGCAUUACUUUUCUGUGGCUUUUCUAUUCGUUCAUAGCUUCUUUUUCUUUCGAGUAUACUUAUGCUUUAUUUUAGCGCCCUAGAGAAUCUCCUUUGUACUUUUGAUAGUAAGGUUAACUUAGGCAGAUUUGAAACAUAUGGAUCGCCUAAGGCCACUCGCUUUGCCAAACUAAUCUAGCCCCAUCACAUUAGAUGAUUGAUAUUCUAUUGUUUUUAACUAUUUGAGUUGAUCCUAGAUGCAUAAAAAAAAUUUAAAUUUUCACGGCGCACACGUUCCAUGUUUUCGAACUUUGGUCUCACCCACAUUGAUUUAGUUACUUACAUGGAUUAGAUCAUUUGAAACUCUCUCUUUUUGUGUAUGGAUUCGAUUGAUAGAGGGUGACAUUCUAGGAUCUUUUGCAUGUUAUCAAAAAUAUAUGUGAAUGAAUGUUGAUGAAUUAUAUAAUUGUUAUUAUGUAAUUUUGUCAUGGUUGUGGUACCUAAAAUUCGAACAAUAUUCUAAGAUCUUUUGCAUGUUAUUGAAAUACAUGUAAAUGGAUGUUGAUGAAUUAUAUAAUUGUUAUUAUGUAAUGUUAUCAAUGUUGUAGUUACAAAAAUUAGAAUAAUUGUAUUUAGGUUAGUUAUGAAACUAAACCGUAGACUAUCAUUUUCACGCAAGUAUUUUAGUUUAUUGCAAUUAGAAAGUCUUGUUAACUGAAAACACAUUAAGAAUCUUAUAACAAAACAGGAACUCUAAACUAUCUAGAAGAAAAUCUAGGCACCCUCCCUGGACUUGGAUGGUUAGAGGGAAAAUUCAAAUCUAAAGAAAGUGGUUAAAGAGAUGAACAAAACCUAUUGUCAUAUAUUGUUCGUGAGGAAGGUUUUCGGCUCUUCACUACCUGCUUCUAUUAUUUAAAUAUUGAUUAGAAUGCAAAUUUUUAGAAUGGUAGCCUGCCUUUGUCAUGCUCAACAAGAAGGUUGGACAUGAUGACUACUUGAGACACUCAAUUCAUUAAAAGCUUGUGUCAUGGAACGAGACUUUAGCUCCAGCCACAUGCGAUCUUAGGCUUAGUUUCUACAACAACAAGCCUCAGACAACGAGAAAGAAUUUGGGAGGAUCUGGAAGUAUAUUCGCUCAAGCACAAGAGAGAACAAUAAAGAAUUAAGUGGGGAAUGAACUAAAAGUCUUCCAAGUCAUUUCAACAACCUCUGGCUCAUUUUUCUCGUGUUUGCACUGUUUCGAACUCAUCGCGGGCAGACUGAGACACUCGCACAUGAUCUAAGCAAAUAUUCAGCAAGUUGGACACCAAAAAAGAUUGCUUGCAGGCGCUUUGCAUCCUUCAGAUCCCCUAGUUCAGUCUUCAGCACUUUUAGCAUCAAUUAAAUCCGCUUCUUUAAUAUGGUAUUAGAUUCUACUUUGCUUUAGCUAAUGCAUCAAAUAAACUUUAAUUAUGGCUUUUGUGUCCACCCUCUAAAAAAAAAAAAGAAAUUUGACUUGUAUUGCGGUUUUCAAAAUAAAUGAUCUCAUUUGUGGUUGACAUGCUGCUCAUUGAGAAUUUUAAAAUUCAAUUAGUAUCCAGUAUACUAUAGACUAAUAUCAAGAAUACUUCAACUUAGCCUAAAUCUACAUUCAGCUGAACAAAGGGAUGCACAAACAACGCAUUCAUUCAGAAAAAUCCAUGCUUAAAAACAGCAAAAACAAUCAUGUUGAAAUGGAGUUUCAUAAUGUUGAAAUGGAGUUUCAUAUUUCAUCCCAUUAUGCUUACAAUCUUCCUUCACAAUCACUUUAUUGAAACCGAAGAAAUUAACAAAAGACAUUUGGAACAACAUCUGCAACAGCAAGCCUGUAAUCAGAUAAUCUUCCUGUGCCUAAACACAAUCCGGGAGUCACUGAAGUGGAAAACAAGUUUCUUUCAUGUCACUCUGCACUCUUAGGACAUGAAUAUAAAUAUACCCAAACAUAAACUAAAAGCACCAAUGAAAUUAGCAACAGACAAAUUAAAAAAUGCCGGCAAAGCAAAUGAAUGCUAAAAUCCUAAGGCCUCCUAACAAAGUAACAAGGAUAGGCGAAUAGAAAAAUCAAGGAAAAAAUAUCUAAUAAUAAUGCUAGUUCUCGGUUUUUCUCUCCUCUUUUAUUGUAUCAAUCCUUGAACCUUGUGGAUACACAUGCAAAUGAAAUCAAUUACAUGCCAUUAUGACAGAGACAGGCCAUAAUUCCUUAAAGUUAUGUAGACUUGGAGCACAAAAUAUAUAGGCAUAAAUAAAGUAACAAUGAAUUGGAGUUUCAUAGUAACUCCGAGUAGAGGAAAAAGAAUCAAGUUUUCAAGCAUCAAGAAUAAAUGACCUCCCUCUUAGUUGUGUUCGAUUAACCUCUUAUAAAUGCAAAAUAUGCAAAAUCAAAACUCAACAAAUCAUACUAAGCAGAAAGAAAAACUGUACCUAAUGCUUAUCUCCAUGACCGUGAGAAUGAUCAUCAUGGCCCUCCCAAGGGUGUCGCCAACCCUAAGAGCGACAAAGUCAGUCCGGGAAUGAAAGCAAGUUACUUCAGAUAAGGAUUGAUUAUGAAGGCAACUGAAAAGAGGAACUUCUUACCAAUACAACAGGACCAUCUUGCUUAGCCCUGUACAAGACCCAAAACCUGAAACACCAGAUUCAAGGAACUUCAAAAAAUCCAUCAGCAUUGCAAUCUAAUCUUUAUUAAUGUUUGCAAGCAACCUGACUUAUAUCAUCUAUGAAUCACAAGGAUAAUACAGUGACAAUGUACACGGCCAUCAGUAUCCAUGAUCGUUAAUGGAAAAGCUUGCAGAUAAUAAUUCUAAAACAUAAAACCUUCGAGCAUCAACUAAUUUGAUCCAAAUUCAAGCCUUCACUGCACAUCUUUCAAACUAAACCCCCAAUUUUUUUAUAAAUUAAAUUUCCACUUUCAAGGCGUAUCCAUGAAUUCUUUUUACAGAUAUGCUAAUUGAAAUUGCACCAAAUUCCCAAAUGUCUUGGCACAACAGAAUCACUAGAUAAACUAAAUCCAAUAAACGUCAGAUUGGUAACAAAUCAGGAUACCGAUUAAUUCAAACAAAAAGGAAAAAUAAAAAUUACCACAUAACGGCACACAAGCCUUUGCCGGUGACAACAUGCCAUCGCUUUGGAUGAUGCAAAGUUAGACCUUUGUAAGUUGUACUCUCUCCAUGGCCUCCUCCCAUCUCUCCCUGUAACCAAACCCUAAACACCAGAAAUGUUCCCAAGUGUUCGAAGGUGGAUUAAUCACUUGCCGGUUGCUUAGAUUUAAACCGAUCCUGAACCGUUGGAUGCGAAUUUGACCAACUGAAGGUGUGGUUCCCAUAUGUGCUGGUUUCUUUUCGUUGUACCAGGCCUUUUUCACGAAAUCGGCUAAGCCCAAGCCAUUGAUCCAUAAAUCUGAGAGUUGAUGUAUUACAGGGAUUAGAUGGUUGUAUUAUUAAAUGAAUCAAAUUAGUCCUAUAUUAUUAAAAAGUAUCAAAUAGAUUUAACAUUUAAUGUAUAAAAAAUGGUCUUUGAAAAUUAUUUUUUCAAUUGUAAUUUAAUUCUAAACAGAAUAUUUUAUUUACAAAACCAUAAAACUUUUAAAAAUAUUAGCUAUGCUGAAUAGUAAAUGAUACUUUUUUAAAAUAGUAUAUGUUAAAUCUAUUCUAAUUUAGUUUUAGUCAAUUUUUUAAUAGUAUAAGGACUAAAUUAAUUUAUUUAAUUAUAAAAAAUAUUAAUUUAAUCAGAUUUUUAUAAUAGAGGACCUCCCCAUUUCACUAAAGGAGAGGAAAACAAAAUUCAUUUCACCCCUUUCACUUGUAGUUUAGUUUAUUUAAUUCUUAAAAUUGUAGAUUGUUUUUUAAUAUUUAUUUAUUUUAAUUUUAAUAUAAUUUAUAUAUUUUAAAUUAUUAUUAAUUAGCACAAAAUAUAGUUUUAAUUAUUUAAUUUAGAUUUUUAUUAUAUUUUAAUUUUACUUACCAAAUAUAUACUUUUUAUUUUAUAUUUCAUUAAUUAAUAUACAUAUAUUUUUAAUGAUUUUAAAUUAUUUAUUAUAUAUAAACACAGUUUAAUUUAAAUAUCUUUAAUGGUUAUUUUCUAUUCUUGUCUCUAUUGUUAUGUUUUGAAUUUAAAUAUAGCUAUUGCCCUUGGUAAAUUUACCGAAGAUGAAAAUGAUUUAUUUGAUAUUAUGUAUGACUGGUUAUGUAGGGACCUUUUCGUUUUUGUAGGUUGGUCCGCCCUAUUGCUCUUUCCCUAUUCCUAUUUCGUUUUAGGGGGUUGGUUUAUAGGUACAACCUUUAUAACUUCAUGGUAUAUUCAUGGAUUGACCAGCUCCUAUUUGGAAGGUUGCAAUUUUUUAACCGCCGCAGUUUCUACCCCUGCUAGUAGUUUAGCACAUUCUUCGUUGUUACUAUGGGGUCCUAAAGCACAAGGAGAUUUUACUUUUUGGUGUCAAUUAGGUGGUCCGUGGACAUUUGUUGCUCUCCACAGUGCUUUCGAACUAAUAGUAUUUAUGUUACAUUAAUUUGCACUUGCGUGAUCUGUCCAAUUGCAACCUUAUAACGUAACUGCAUUCUCUGGUCCAACUACAUGCACAAUAUUUUGGAAUCUACAUCAUGUUUUUGAAAACGUAAGAAUUCAAAGUAUCUUGGUCCUUUCUUAUGAGUUGAUCCCGAAGGAAAUUAAUUAGAAAUUUUUUGGUAAAUCGUUAAUUUAUUUAAUAUUUAACUAUAUUUAUUUAUAAGUUUACUAGAUUGAAAUUUUAUGAUGUAUAAAAAUUUAUAGACCCCAUGUUACAUUCAGUAAAAAUUUAUGAUACAAGUAUUGGGUGUACUCAACGUGUCUAAGCCUGCUCCACCGAUGUGUUAGAAAUGAUUCCUUGCAAUGGAUGUAAAGCUAAGUAGAUUGCUUCCACAGUCUAACUACUUAAUUGAUUAAUUUCUUUACCACCACUAUUUUCAAUCUUAACAAAGUCAUUUCAUUGUCAUAUAAGUAGAAAAUGUAUGUAUUUUGAAUAUUGAUAGGUUGUAACACCCCUCACCAGUAUUCAAUGCCGGAAUAGGGUUACAGAGUAUUAUUGAACUUAUAAAACAAUUAAAAAUUCAUUUAGCAUACAUUUUCACAAUUCAUGCAUUCAUCAUUCAAUCUCAAUCAAUUUGUCCCUACUACGAGACUUCGAGGCCCUACCUUAUAUCCAAAGUACUAAUAUCAUGGCCCGAAGCCAAAUCAGUCGAUAUUCACGACCGGAAGCCAAAUCGGUAUAACUCGCACCCAAAGUACUAAUAUCAUGGCCCGAAGCCAACUCAAUGUAUCCCCUAAUGACAUGUCACUAGUAUCCUAAACUAUUCCUAAGGUUCAACUGGGAUUUCGAAUGCCGAAUUGCCAUUAAGUCAUGUCAAACUUAUCUGAAGUCUCGUAUUCAAAAUUUAUACAAUAUCAAGCAUUUAAAAUACACUUAUAAUGAAAUUUAUCACUUACGAACUUACCUCGAAUGUGAAAACGAUGAAAUAAGUCGAUUAGUCGAUAACUUUAGUUUUCCCCCGAUCUAGAUUUGAAUUCCGCUUUUCUUGAUCUAAAUAUAUUUAAAAUUAACUUAUUUAAUAAUAUCUCUAUUCAAUUUAAUCCAAAACACACAUUUAAGCAUGUUUACACAUUUUCCCCUAAUGUUUCACUACUUUUACAAUUUACUCCUUAUUUCAUAAAAUCACAAAUUAAUGAAAUUAAAAAUAAACCCAUGCUAGCCGAAUUACUAUUAUGCCUCUAGCAGCCCAUAUUUUUCAUUUAUUUCACAUUUUAACCACAAAGUUUCAGCAUUUCUCAAUUUAAUCCCUAUUUUGCAUUUUCACUAAAAAUCACUUAACAAAACUUGUAUAUUUCACAACAAACAUUCAUAAUCUAUCAUCAAACAUCAAAAAACUCAUGUAUUCAUCAAUGACAUCAUUCAAACUCUUUAACAAUUUUGCAAAAUAGCCCUGGGCUAGCUAGACCUAGUUGUAACGAACUCAAAAACAUAGAAAUCAUUAAAAACGAAAUAAAAAUGGACUUACAAUUGAGUAUCAAAGUAACCGAAAGUUUCAAGCCCUAAAAUGGGUUUUCUUCAUGCUUCAUUCGGCCAACGAAGAUGAUUAUAAAAUAAAUUUUUUUGUUUUAUUUAAUUAACCUUAAUUGAUAAAUUACUAAAUUAACUUUAAUGAUAAAACAUUUAUAUCAUCUAUUUCAUGUCCAUUAUGGACCACUUACUUUAAUAAUGGUCCAUUUAUCACUUAAGGACUUCCACAUUUAAUAUUCAUAGUCAUUUAGUGCAUUAAAAAAUAGAAUUCAACUUUUACACUUUACGCGAUUUAAUCAUUUUUACCAAAUUAAUCAAUCAAACGAUAAAAUUCCUUAACGAAAUUUUCAUACAACUAUAAUAUCAUGCCAUAGACAUUAAAAUGAUAAUAAAAUAAUUAUUUUAACCUCAGAUUUUUUGUCCCAAAACCAUUAUUCUGAUUUGACUAAAAACGGGUUGUUACAACUCUCUCCCUUAAGGAUUUUCGUCCCUAAAAAUCUUACCAGUGAAUACGUUAGGGUAUUAUUUUCUCAUAGCUUCCUCGAGCUCCCACGUAGCCUCUUCGACACCGUGACAUUGCCUCAAGACUUUCACUAAAGCUAUGCGUUUAUUUCUCAGCUCUUUAAUCUCUCGAGCCAAAAUUCUGAUCAGUUCUUCGUUGUAUGUCAUAUCGGGUUGAAUUUCGAUCUCUGACGGAGAAAUCACAUGUAAUGGAUCAGAUCUAUAUUGGCACAACAUCAAUACAUGAAACACGUUAUGGAUUUUCUCUAACUCAGUCAGUAAAGCUAGCCGAUAUGCCACUGGUCCUAUUCUUUCAAUGAUCUCAUAUGGUCUGGUGAAGCGUGGACUCAAUUUGCCUUUGUAACCAAAUCAUAGUAUUUUCUUCCACGGAGACAUUUUCAAAAUACUUUAUCACCGAUUUGAAAUUCAAUGUCUUUCCGUUUCAAAUCUGUGUACGAUUUCAUCGAUCUAAAGCUACUUUCAAACUGUCGCAGAUUACUUUCACUUUUUCUUCUGUUUCUCAGAUCAAUUCAACCUCGUGAAUCUUUUUCUUACUCAACUCUAUCAAAUACAAUGGAGUUCAGAAUUUGCGACCAUACAAAGCUUCAUAUGGUGCCAUUUUAAUACUUUAUUGAAAGCUGUUGUUAUACACGAAUUCAACCAACAACAAAUAUAUCUCUCAGUUGCUUUCGAACUCUAAAACACAACAGCGAAGCAUAUCUUUGAGAAUUUGAAUUACUCUCUUGGACUGACCGUUAGUUUAUGGAUGAAAUGCAGUACUAAAGUUUAACUUCGUACCCAGAGCUUCUUGCAAUUUCUUCCAAAAUCACAAUGUAAAUCUCAGAUCUCUAUCCGAAAUAAUCGAAAUUGGUACCCCGUGCAAUCUAACAAUCUCAGCAAUGUACAAUUUAGCUAAUCUAUCGAAUGAAUAGUCUAUACGUACUAGUAUAAAAUGCGUCGAUUUCAUCAAUCUAUCAACUAUAACCCAAACAACAUCUUUCUUUUUUAGAGUCAGGGGUAACCCCGAUACGAAAUCCAUCGUAACUUUAUUCCAUUUCCACUUAGGUAUCAUUACUGGUUGCAGUAGUCCCAAAGGCACUUGAUGUUUGGCUUUCACUUGUUGAUAGAUUAAACAUCUCGACACAAACUCUGAAAUAUCUCGUUUCAUGCCCGACUACCAAUAUAACUAUUUCAAAUCAUUGUACAUCUUAGUACUUCCAGGAUAAACGGAUAAAAAACCACUAUAUGCCUCGUGUAAAAUUUUCUGAAUCAACUCUGGAUUUUUCAAUACACAGAUUCUACCUAGGAACAUCAGACAAUCAUCGGCUCUAAUUUGGUACUCUAAAUCACUAGUUGACUCGCAUUGCAUUCUUUUAGCUUGCAAUUUACUAUCACAUUUCUAACCUUCGCAAAUUUGCUGAAGAAAUACUGGUUUAGCCUUUAACUCAGCUAAAAUCGAAACAUCAUCAGAUAACGUUAACUGAGUAUUUAUUAUUCUCAAAGCAAACAACGAUUUUCUACUCAAAGAAUCAACGACUAUAUUAACUUUUCCCGGAUGAUAAUUAAUUACUAAUUCAUAGUCUUUUAGUAGCUCAAGCCAUUUCCGUUGUCGCAAAUUUAAAUCUUUUUGAGUUAUAAUAUACUUUAAACUUUUAUGAUCAGUGAAGAUGUGCCAUUUUUCACUGUACAAAUGAUGACACAAAAUUUUCAAUGUGAAAAAAAUAGCAGCCAACUCUAAAUCGUGCGUCGGGUAAUUCUUUUUAUACGGUUUCAACUGUCUCGAGACAUAAGCUAUCACUUUUCCCUCUUGCAUCAACACACAACCUAACUCGUUUAAUGACUUGUCACUAUAAAUCACAAACUCUUUACCCGACUCAGGUUGAACCAAAACUGGUGCUUUGGUUAGCAAUUCUUUCAAUUGUUCAAAACUCUUUUGUCAUUUUUUAGACCACUCAAAUUUUACAUCUUUUAGUAGUAACCUGGUCAUCGGUGUAACAAUCAUUGAGAACCCUUUUACAAAACAUCGAUAGUAACCAGCUAACCCCAAAAAGCUUCUGACUUCGGAUACAUUUCCCGGUGGUUUCCAAUCAACAACUGCUGAAAUCUUACUCGAAUCAACUUUUAUACCUUCCGCGGAAACAAUGUGCCCCAAAAAAUUUGACUUCUCUGAGCCAAAACUCACAUUUGCUGAAUUUAGCAAAUAGUUAAUUGUCUCUUAAAGUUUGCAACACAAUCCUCAAAUGCUUGGCAUGCUCAGACUUAUCUCGAGAAUAGAUCAGAAUGUCGCCAAUGAAUACAACAACAAAUCUAUCUAAAUACGAUUUAAAGAUCCUAUUCAUCAAAUCCAUAAAGACUGCAGGAGUAUUAGUUAAUCCAAAAGGCAUAACAAGGAAUUCAUAAUGUCCAUACCUCAUUCUAAAUGCAGUUUUCGACACAUCUAAGUCUUUAACUCUCAACUAAUAAUAACCCAAUCUCAAAUCAAUCUUCGAAAACACUAUUGCCUCUUUUAACUGGUCAAAAAAAUCAUCAAUUCUCGGCAAAUGAUACUUGUUCUUUAUCUUAACCUUAUUGAGCUAUCGAUAGUCAAUACACAUUCUCAUUGAUCCAUCUUUUUUCUUUAUGAACAAUACUGGCGCACCUAAGGUAAAAAACUAGGUCGUGCAAAACCUCUAUCUGUUAACUCUUGCAACUGAGAUUUCAACUCUUUCAAUUCUAUCAGAACCAUUUUGUACUGAGCUAUGGAUAUCGGUGAAGUUCCUAGUACUAACUCGAUAGCAAACUCAACCUCUCUGAUCGGUGGUAAUCUAGGAAAAUCUUCUGGAAACACAUCCAGAAACUUACAAACUAUCGACACUGAUUCAAUCUUCGAUUCAGACACUCUUGUAUCCAGUAUAUAAGCAAGAUAAGCUUCACAACCUUUUCUCACAUAUCUCUAAGCUGACACAGACAAAAUCACAGCAGGCAAUCCAUUCGAUUCAUCUUAUUCAAUUCGAAGAAUUUCACUGUUCUGACAUUUCAAUUCAAUGAUUUUCUGUUUACAAUUCACAAUGACAUCAUGCAGAGUCAACCAAUCCAUUCCCAGAAUCACAUCGAACUCAUCAAACAGAAAAAGCAUCAAUUCAACCGGAAAACAGUAACCUCGAGUCAUUAAAGGACAGUUCUUGCAUAUUUUAAUCAACUAGAACAUACUUGCCUAAGGGAUUCGAUAUUUUAAUCACAAAUUUAGUAGACUCAACAGGCAAACUCUUACUAAACACUAAAUUCAUACAAAUAUACAAAUGAGUCAAUCUAGGAUCAAUCAAUGCAGUUACAUUAGUGUUAUAAAGAGAAAAUGUAUCGAUGAUAACAUCAGAUGAUGACGCUUCUUUGCGAGCGCGAAUAACGUAAGCUCUAGUUGCUACUCUAGUAUCGGAUCUCACAGCUGAAUCUCUAGUUACAUCUUUUCCACUAGACACAUUCCCCAUAUUUCUCGGGGGCCUCCAUCUCGCAGUCGUACUGCUCGGUCUUAUAUUCUGAAAUUUAUCUCUCUCAGAUAACUCUGGGCAAUCUUGAAUAAAAUGAUCUGGCGAUCCACGUAUGAAACAAGCUUUAUUACUUUUAUUCCAGCAUUCUCCAAAAUGUCGUCUCCCACAAUGUUGACACUCAGGUUGAUUGUUUCUUAUACUGCCAACGCUUGAGAUGGAAGUUGCUUGAGCUUUAGGACUCACAUAUUGUAACAGCCUGGUUUUAGCUAAAUCGGAAUAGUGGUUUUGAGACCAUAUAUACGAGGUCAAAAAAUUAUUUUAAUAUUAUUUUUUGUGUUUAUAUAAUGUGAUUAUAUAUGUGUGAAAAUUUCGUGAGCUAAUUUUAUCGUUUAAUAACUCAAUUUGAGAAAAAUGACUAAAUCGCGUAAAAUGCAAAAGUGAUAUUUUAUAUGUUAAAUGUGUUUAAUUGCUAUGGUUGAUUAAAUGUGAGGUUCUUAUGUUGAUAUUAGACUAUUUAUAGUGGAAUUUUACAUAAAUGGUCAUUAAUUGAAUGUUUUAAAUGGUUUUUAAUUACGACUAAUUUGGUAAUUUGGUUAUUAACGUUAAUAUUAAUAAAACAAAUAAAAAAUAAACCUUAUUAUCAUCUUCCACCACUAAUUAAUGAAGAAUGAGAAGUUUUUUUUGGUGUUUUAGGUUUUGGCUAGCAUAUAACUUGAUUAAGGUAUGUUUUGAGCUCGGUUUUUGACGAUUUCUAUGUUUUGUAAUCGUUGCUUUGUGUUCUAGCUAGCCCUUACCCUAAUUUUUGAAUUUUUUAAUGAUUUUGUAAAAUUCCAUUGAUGAUCUCUUGAGUUUUUUGAAUGUUGAUGAUGGAAAAUGAAUAAUUGUUGAUAGAUUUUAAUGUUUUGUAAAGUGAUUUUUGACAAAAAUGUCAAAUAAGGAUUAAAUUGUGAAAUUUGCAAAUUGAAGAGUUGAAAUAUGAAAUAAAUGAAAGUUUUGGGCUGCUAAGGGUCCCUAUGAAAUUCGGCUAGCAUGUAAUUGGAUUUAAUUGUGGGAAUUUUAUGUAUUUUUUAAAUAGAGACUAAAUUGUAAGAAAUGUGAAAGUUUAGGGUCAAAGUGCAAAUUGGCUAAAAUAUGUGUUUGUGGAUGAAAUUGAUUGAGUUGAUGAUUAAAUGGGUUAAUUUUGAAUACAAAUAGAUUAAGAAAGAAAGAAUUCGAAUUUAGAUCUAGGAAAAUUGAAGUUUAUUGAGUAAUCGAUCCGAUUCGUCAAUUCUAAGUAGGAGGUAAGUUCGUAUGUGGCAAUUUCAUUUUAAAUGCAUGUUAAAUUCUUUGACAUCGCAUAAACUAUGAUAAUGAGAUUACAGAUAGUGUUGAAUAGUGAAAAUGACUCUACGAAUGCAUUCGAUGAUAGAAACGAGAGGUGUGAAAGCUCGGUUGAACCUUAGGAAUAGAAUUGGAUAUUUGUGAAAUGUUAUAAGUUGAUUUGGCUUCGAGCCAUGCAUAUCAGAUGAGUUGGCUUCACGCCACGAUAUCGGCACUUCAGGUGCAAAUAAUACCUUGAUUUGGCUAUGGGCUAUGGUAUAGCUACUCUGAGAUAAGUUACCUUGAUUUGGUUAUGGGCCAUGGUAUAGGUACUUAUUGAUUGAUAUCUGAGUAUCUGACUUUUAAUCCAAAUGGUUCAACAGGUAAUGAAUGAUGUAGUUGAGAAAAAGGUUAGUACGAGGUGGUAUAGCUACGUACGGAACUUAUUCAAAUAUUACAUUGAGAAAGUUCAAUGAGAUUAUAUUGGAUCAUGUUUAAGACAUGACAAAGGUUUGUAGUUAAUGUGAUUUUGAUUUGGUAAUGUGAAAAUGGUUGAAUUACAUUUAUUUGAUAAAUUGAGUUAAUCACUUACGAGCUUACUAAGCUAUGAAGCUUACUAUGUGUUAUUUGUCUAUGUUUUAUAGAUUAUCGAAGCUAGCUUGGACUCGGGGAUCGUCGGGAAACGUCAUUACACUAUUGAACAUUUUGUUGGUACUUUUGAAGCUUAGUAUAUAUGGUAUAUGACAUGUAUUGGCUAGUGUCAUUAUGGUACAUUUUGUGUAAUGAAAUUCUAGCCAUGUGAUUUGGCUUGUAUUUGGUAAAGUUGUGGGAUGUGAAUUUUACUUAUUGAAUGUGUUUAUAUAUGCUAUGUAAUGUGAAUGGUAUGCCUUGUCAAUUUAGCCUAGUAUGGUAUGAGAAUAAGGUAUUGAAUUGGUGGUAUUUUGAAAUUUGAAUUAGAUGAUAAGAUGAUGAGUAAAUGCAUUUGGAACUUAUGUAAGUUUUAAUGAUUUUGGCAUAAUGAUUUGGUAUGUUUUGAAUAUGAAAUUUAGUAGUUGAAAUGAUUGAGGAUAGUUUGCAUGAAUUGGCAUAUUUUGUCUACCUAUAAAUGUAAUGAAAUAGGACUAUUUUGGUUGCUAGGUGUGCAUGAGAAAAGGGUGGCAAAUUGGCUUGGCAAAUGGCCUAUUUUUGUCCACACUGGCAGAGACACGGGCGUGUGUCUCAGCCAUGUGCAACACACAGUCACGUUACACGGCCGUAUGUCCCCUAGGUUCCCUUUCGAAUUAAGUCAAUAUACCCUACAGGUUUAGCACGGCCUAGACACACGGGCUGGCACAUGGGCAUGUGGUUGACCGUGUGACACAAGUCAGUAACCCCUCUAAUUUUCCCACUGUCAUGGCACACGGGCGUGUCCGGCCGUAUGAUGCUAGUCAGUAUGUAUGCCCUAUUUUCACACAGCCUAUGACACGAGCGUGUCUGGUGGCUGUGUGAGGCACAUGGCCUGUUCACACGGGCGUGUAACUCUUAAAUGCAAGAAAAUUUUCUAUGUUUCCUGAAGUUUGCUAAUGUUAUUAGUUUCAUCCCGAACUUCUUUUAAGCAUGUUUUAAGGUCUCGUAGGGCCUUAUAAGGGACAAUGUGAAUGUGUUGAAUGAAAUUUUAUUAUGAAUGCAUAUAUGUAUGAUUUAUGUUGUAAUAGAUAGGUAAUGCCUCGUAACCCUAUUCCGGCUAUGGAUACGGGUUAAGGGUGUUACACAUGUUGAUUUCCACGAUCUCUAUUAUGGUAUCCCACAGAUGCAUUUGAUCGACUAUACGAAUCUCGAGAUUUCUUUGAUGAAGAAUGAUAAGGUUUAUUCGUCGGUCUUUUUCUCGAAUAUCUAGCCCAUGAAUCAGCUUUCAUCUUUUCUAGGCUAAAGCCUUUGGCUUUACAAGCCUGGUCAACUAGUACAACAAAUUCUUUCAAAUCUAAAAUCCCGACCAGAAGUUUAAUGUCUUCAUUCAAACCGUUAACAAACCGCUUGCACAUGAUCUCUUCGGUAGAAACAUACUCUCGAGCAUAUUUACUCAACCGCACAAAUUCUAAAAACUCUUUGUGUUUUUUAUCUAGAAACUGUUGGCUUAUAUAUUUCUUCCUAAACUCAGUUUGAAAGAAUUCUCAGGUGACUCGUUCUCUAGGUACCACAUAUACUAAUGUAUUCUACCAUUGAUACACGACAUCUCUCAAUAAUGAAAUGGCACACUUUAAACUCUUAGCUGGAGUACAUAACAGUUCAUCACAUACCCGAAUAGUGUUUUCAAGCCAAAAUUCAACUCUCUCGGGAUCGUCAUCCACGGUAGCUCUUAACUUCUCAGCCCUGUACUUACGGAUUUUAUCAACUGGAGGCUUAUUUAAUCGUGGAAAUUCCACAACUUAAGGGGCUAUAGGGAUCGGUUGAGGAUUAGGUUAGGGUGGAGGUUGUUGAGCAGCAGGAUUUGUCCGGACAUACUGUGUGAACCUUUCGUUCAUCAUUUGGAAGAAGGCUUCUUUAGCCUCUCCUCCUUGGCUACCCGAUACGAGUCUAGAUUCUGAAGACACUGUCCCUCGAGCGGGAGCUGGCGCAUUACUUUUAACCUCAUCAACUACAACUCGAUUAAGAUCCAUUUACUAUACGAAAACACAUUUUAAAAUGUCAGGAGUCAUCACGCUAUCACAAUUUAUAUAUGGCAUGUAUAGCUAAACUCUCACAUACACUACGUUAGUCCUAGAAUCGACUAAACCGUAACUCUGAUACCAAUAAAUGUAACACCCAUCACCCGUAUUCAAUGCCGAGAUAGGGCUACAAAGUAUUACCGAACUUAUAAAAUAAUUAAAAAUUCAUUUAGCAUAUAUUUUCACAAUUUAUGCAUUCAUAAUUAAAUCUCAAUCAAUUUAUCCCUAAUACGAGCCUUCGAGGCCCUAAACAUGCUUUGGGAAUGGUUCGAGACUAAACCAAUAACUUAAGAAACUUUCAUGAAACCUAGAAAAUUUUUCUCAAAACAGAAGACACACGCCCGUGUGGUCCGCCCGUGUGUCUCACACGGCCACCAGACACGCCCGUGUCACAAGUCGUGUGGACAUUCGAAAUGGAAGCACAUGGCCGUGUCCCAGCCCAUGUCUGACCCCGUGUAACUCUCUAACUUGGGUCACAUGGCCAAUACACACGUCCGUGUGCCUUAAAAAUGACCAUACACGCCCGUGUGCCAGCCUGUGUGCUAGGCGGUGUAAUAGCCCAAAUUUCAACGAUGUCGGAAAUAGUGGUUCGAGACCACCAAAUCCAAAAAAUGAACUCAUAGAUUAUAUUAUUUAAUAUUUAUGAGCCAAAUGUAGCUUUUAAAAUAUUUUUGAAAUAGUAAAUUAUAUUUUAUAAAGAUUUAUUUGGUCAAGAAAUUGAUAAAAAAAAUUAUCGAGAUCUCGGUGUUAUAAACCAAGCCAUAAAUAUUUUUAUAAAUAUUUAAAGAGUGUCAAUAAGGUAGUAUUAAAAUUUUGUUAGAAAAUUUUGACAUUUGGGUGAUUAGUUAAAUAAAAAGGACUAAAUUGAAAAAAAGUGUAAAAGUUGCUAGAAGGAUUAAAUAGCUCAAUUGUCAAAUGAGGAAGGACCUAAAGUGCAAAUAAUCCCAAAGGAGAUAUUUUGGCCAGCAAUAGCUGAGAAAAAUCAGGAAAUGGGUGAAAUAAGGGCAAAAUUGGAAAAUUGACAAAAUUAGCUAAAUAAAAAUGGGACCAAAUUGGAAUAUCUAGAAUUCUCUUCAUUUUCUCUUCAUUUUCAUCAGCUGAAAAAUAGCCAUGAAAGAGGGUUCAAGUUGGUUUUCAUACUCUAACUUCAUGUAAGUUUAAUUCUUACUUUCUCCUUGAAAUUUCUAAGAUUUUGGACUUUUACAAUUGGGUCCAACUUACUAUGUCAUUAGUUUUUGAUUCCAUGGCUAAUUUUUAAAGUUGCUAUGGAUGAGUGCUAGAAGCGAUGAUGAAUAAAUAUAGAAUUGAAGCUUUAAUUUUGAUAUAUGAUGAUUUUAUCAAGUAAAAUUGAUGGAAAUUGAUUUUAAGACCUAAUUAUGAAAGAGUUUGGAAUUAAGGUCUAGUGCUAAAGUUCUAAUUUUCAGGGGUUAUGAAGUAGUUUAAAAUGAUAGACUAAAGUAUUAAUUGAUAAAAAUUAGCUCAAUUUAGGGGUUAAUUGAGCAAGGACUGAAUUGUAUGAACUGUAAAAUUUGGGGUAAAAUGGAAAUCAACAUUUUGCAUUAAAAUUGUUUUGGACAGCAGCAAUAGUCUAAUUUUGAAAAAUCACCAAAAAUUGUAAAAAUCGAAUGAGAGAAUGAAUAAAUAUGAAAUUAAAGCUUAUUGAGCCUAGUUUCUUAUAGAAGAAAUGAUGUAAGCAAUGGGAUUGUAAAUCAUGAGAUAUAAUAAAUUUUGUGAGAUAAGGUCAGAAUGAUUUUGGGUUCCUCUAUUCUGACUUUGGAAAAUCAUCAAAAAUUGAAAAAGAAAAUUAGGGCUUAAGUUCAUAUUUUUAUAAUCCUGAAUGAGUUUAUUUUCAAGAAAAACAAACAGGAAAAGUAUUCGAAUCUUGUACAAGGAGAUAACUAAUUUUUAGUGAAGAAGGGUCGGAACUAUCAGACAGUAGAAUAGGGGUGAUUUUAAAGAAUAAAAUGUACUUAUUGGCUAAACCAAAAAUUCUAAAAAAAAUUUGGUAAUAAGAUAUGCAAGUCUAGUUUCAGGGAAAAUUAGCGGAUCUUAAUUUGGAGCUCUAUAGCUCAAGUUAAAAAUAAUUUAGUGACUAUGACACGGAUGGACAGCUUUGGAAUAUAAAUAUAAGUAAAUAGUGAAAUUAUAGAUAAUGUUACUUAUAAGCGUGUUAUAUACAUUAAGGAUGUGGAAUGGAGAGGAGGAGGAGGAAAAUAUGUGAGUGACUUAUGCAUAAAUCAAUUACAUGCUCGAUUAUAUUUGGUAAAUGUUAAACUUUCUUAAAAUGAAAAAUGUUAUAAAUUCAUGUUUGAAUUAAAUGUUAUAAAUGUUAAAGAAUAAUUUGAAUAUUUGAUAUUGCCUAAUAAAUGAAUAUCCGAUAUUGCUUAGUAAAUGUUAAGCCAAAUAUAAAAAAAAAUAUGUUAUAAGUGAAACAUGUGUGAAAGAAUGUGGUAAGUAUUUUCAUGGUUAUUAUUGAGCUCAUUCACAUGAAUCUGUCAUUUGAAAUUGUGAUAGACAGGAAGAAAUAGUGAAUGGCAUGCUUAUGUAUGGUUAUAUGUAUUUAUCUAAAACACAAGAAAAUGAUGGCUAUAUUUUUUAUAUAUGGAGACAGGAGACAUGAGACUAUGAUAUAUGAACAUGGAAUAUAUUUUAUAAAUGUGUUCAUUCAUAAUUAUAGAAUCCUGCAACUCAAGUGUACUAUUUGUAUAAUGAUAGUAUUUCAAAUGAUUUGAUGAGUAAAGCUCCAAUGUGAGAUAGUCUGAAAUCAAGACAAAUUGUUAUGAAAGUGUAUUUAAAAUACAUAGAUAUGAUUGUUAUAAGUUAUGUGAGUAAAUGAUGUGUAAAAGUAUAUGCAUAUGAGAAAUUUAAUGAAAGUUGAGCCCAUACAUGUUUCUUGAUAUUUAUAUGAAUUAUAUGACUAACAAUGUGAUAAGAAUAGGCAUUAGGGCUCAUGAUCAAUUCGAAUAAUUAUGCUUUGCAUAAUUAUGUUGAAUAUAGAGAAGCGAUAAGUUAAUUACCAUGUUAUACGAAUUUAUUAAAUAUUACAUGUUUACUUUGUUUUACUUUUUCCCCUAAUUAAUAAUGAUUCGAUAAGCUCCGAUAAUGCCUCGUACCCUAUUUCAAUGACGGAUACGGGUAGGGGGUUCUAUAGGCCGUGCCAAACCUGUAGGGUAUACUAACUUAUGCCACACGGCCAAGUCACACACCCGUGUGUGAGGCCAUAUGGAGCAUACUAACUUGAUUUUAAUUUCAACACCAGGGAACACAUGGCCGUGUAACAUAACCGUGCGUCACACACGGCUGAGACACACAUCCAUGUCUCUGCCCGUGUGGACAAAAAAAUAGGGCAUUUACCAAGCCAAUUUGCCACCCAAAUUUAUGCAUUCCUACAUCAAACCAAUUGGUACCAAUACAAGACAUAAAUAAGCAUUCAAUCUACUUCAACCAAGCAUCAUUUAUUCCAUUUCAAUAUAAACAAUUACAAGAUUUACCAUACCACAAUAUACAAUUCAAAUACAUAUCAAAUUUUACCCUUUUCAUUCAUCAAUAUGGUCUUUUUCAAACAUGUAUCAAAUUAUCUAAACUUGUAAGCAUACUAAUUACCAAUUCAUCAACCAUUUGAUAUUCACCAUAUCCAUUUUCAACAAGCACCAAAUACCAUCAUAACUAACAUUUAUAAGGAAAUUACUAAACUCAAACAAAGGCUAUUUGCACACUUAUAUACAUUAUCAAAUUCACCAUUAUAAGCCAACUCACAUGAUUAUAUAUUUACAUACCAAACCUAAUAUUUACAAGCCAACACAAAUGGCCAAAAGAUAUAUACUAAAAAUACCAAGUCCCUAUACAUGCCAUAUACUUAAAAUACCAAAGUUCAUAGGUACCAAGUGAUAUAUGGAUAGUGUGAAGCGGACUCCGAUGAAUCUCCGAAUCCGAGCUAGCUUUGAAUUCACUAUAAAACACGGGAAAAAUAAACAAAGUAAGCUAUAAAGCUUAGUAAGCUCUUAUGAAAUAAACUUGAUAUAAUCAUAUCCGCAUAAUCCAACAAUUGAUAAUAGAUACAUGAAUUUACAUCAACUAACAAACCUUUCAAUUACUCAUUUACAAAACUAUAUACUUUCUUCACCAUUUCUUCGAUUCAAAGCUAAUAUGGUUUAUGCACAUACUUUUACCAUCUUGUACCAAUCUCAUUCUCACCCACAUCAUUCAUUUACCCAUUGAACCAUUCAGAAUAGAAGUCGGAUACUCAGGAGUCUUACACAAUAAGUACCUAUACCAUGACCCGAAGCCAAAUUAAGGUAACUUAUAUCCGAAGUACUGAUAUCAUGGCCCAAAGCCAAAUCAGCCAAUAUUCAUGGCCCAAAGCCAAAUUGGUAUAACUCGCACCCGAAGUGCUAAUAUCAAGGCCCGAAGCCAACUCAAUGUAUCCCCUAAUGACAUGUCACUAGUAUCCUAAACUAUUCUUAAGGUUCAACUGAGAUUUCGAAUGCCGAAUUACCAUCAAGUCAUUGUUGAACUUAUCCGAAAUCUCAUAUUCAAAAUUUAUACAAUAUCAAGCAUUUAAAAUGCACUUAUAAUGAAAUUUAUCACAUACGAACUUACCUCGGAUGUGAAAACAACGAAAUAAGUCGAUUAGUUGAUAACUUUAUUUUUCCCCAAUUCUAGAUCCGAAUUCAGCUUUUCUUGAUCUAAAGAUAUUCAAAAUUAAAUUAUUUAAUAAUAUCUCUAUUUAAUUUAAUCCAAAACACACAUUUAAGCACAUUUACACAUUUUCCCAUAAUGUUUCACCACUUUUACAAUUUAGUCAUUAUUUCAUAAAAUCACAAAUAGUGAAAUUAAAAUAAACCCAUGCUAACUGAAUUACUAUCAUGCCUCUAGUAGCCCAUAUUUUUAUUUAUUUCACAUUUCAACCACAACGUUUCAGCAUUUCUCAAUUUAAUCCCUAUUUUGCAUUUUCACUAAAAAUCAUUUAACAAAACUUGCAUAUUUCACAACAAACAUUCAUAAUCUAUCAUCAAACAUCAAAACACUCAUUGUAACACCCCAAACCUAGCCUAGAUGUUAUGGCCGAAUCUGGCAAUGUCACAUGGAAUGGGAUUCGAAAAUGAGUUUGUCGAGUUAAGCCGUUCCAGUUAAUUAACUUGUUAUGACUAAAAUCGUAUCUUUUUAGCGGAAGCUUUGGUAACGUUUAUUUUUUUGAAAAAUUGUUUGGGUUGAAAGAAACCUUUGUUUUAAGAAAAAUCGAGUUUUUACUGUCUAGCCAUACUAAAAUCGUAAAGCAGUUUAAAAAAUCCAAAAUUCAAAACCCAAUAGUCCAAAAUCCCAAAAUUACACAAGAAAUACCCAAAAUAAUGUGUAUUCUGAAAACUGAAUCAAAGCAGUACGAAACAAUGGUGGUCGCCGUCGAGUCUUCUGCCGCAUCGAUCCAUCUAAGACUGGGGAUUACCUGUACAUAUUAACUGAAAUCGGGUGAGUUUUCGUAAACUCAGUGUGCAAUUCCCACAGAAAAUAUAUAUACAGAUACACAUAAGAAUACAGUCAAGUUCAGUAUGGGCCUGAGCCCAUUUUAGGUUCAGUUUGGGCCUUAGCCCAGUCAGUUACAGUUUCAGAUAUAAAUUAGGGCCUUUGCCCAUCUUAGAUACAGUAUGCAGUAACAGAAAUCAGAGUCCUACCCACCAGCCUUUACACACCAUCUCCGUCCAUCCCUACACACCAUGUGGGGUUAAAAACACUCACUCAUCCCUACACACCAUGCUGUACCGAAAUGCGGCACAUAUUCAGUAAUUUGUAACUGAGCUGCCAGAUAACAGGCUUGAAAGCCUUUCGAACACUUCCUCUAAAUAUCAUCAACCUACCCCGAUGCAAUGCAACAAACAAUAAAUGACAUGCUAAUAUGCGAUUAUUAGUACAUACAUUCAAUUUAGAAUACAUGCUUAGUAUUAUCAGGCUCAGUACAGAUAUCAUACAGAUAAUUUAUAUAUAUAAGGGUCUAAGGAUUGCUUACCGACCCUACAUUAGGUUCACAGUCGACUUGGGCGACCUGUGCAACCUUAGAAACUUUUCAGUUAAAAUGGGCUCACACGCCUAGGUAGCCUGCCCGUGUGGGCCCACACGCCCGUGUGGCCUAUACGGCCCAAAUUGGCCUUGGUCGUGUAGAUCACAUAGUCUGGCCCAUAAUCCCACAUGCCCGUGUGGACUAUCCAUGUAGGCCGACACGCUCGUGUGGCCCACACGGCCCAAAUCAGUCUAGUCCGUUUGUCGCACACGGCCUAUCUGGCCAUUACACGACCGUGUCUGUUGUGCACGGCCUGUCCUCGUUGAUCACACACCCGUGCUAUAGCACACGGCCUACCACACAACCUACCACACGGCCAUGUGACAUCGAUAGAAUGGUUUUUAGCUUUCGUCAAAACCUCGUUUUCUGUGUUUUCGGGUACACACCUGGUUUGUUUUCGACGCGUAAGCUGUUCGAAGCCUCCAGAACCUAAAAAUGGACCAACGUAACACUUAAUUAAACACUUGUUUCGCCAUUCAAUUAAAAAUCUAUCAAAACCUAUCAUCGACAAUAUAAAUAACCCUUUGUAACACCCUAGACCCGGCCUAGACGUUAUGGCCGAAUCUGAUGAUGUCAUGUGGUAGUGCUUUUCGAUAAAUAUGUUGUUGCUAAAUCUCCUUUUUCAUUUUCUUAUGUUAAUUUCAAAUCAUGUCGUUCGAUUUCCAAACAUUAAUCAUUUGUAAUUCGAUAGUCAAUUUCCAAAACGUUUUUCAUUACAGAAGCUUUUAAACAGUUUGCGUAUUCGUGGUAUUUUUUAUAAAACAUCAUUUUCAUUUGAAAACUCGAGUUUUAUCUAACACUAGCAGAUAUGAAUCAUUAAACCGUAUAAAUCCAAAUUUAAACCAAAAUCCAUAAAAGCCAUAAUUACAGUAAAAUACUCCCAAAUAAAAGUAAAAUCAUGAAUAGAUAAUAAAAUAGGGUAAAAGAAGUCGUGUGGCCACCACUGAGUCCUCCGCUGCACCAACCCGCCUAUAUUUGGGGAUUUCCUGUACGGAUUAAACAUAAGGGGUGAGUUUACGUAAACUCAGUAUGUAGUCCCCAUACAAAUGAACAGACAGUAACCAUAUAAUCACAGUCUGGGCUUAAGCCUUUUUCAGUAUCAGUAUCAGACCAGUUUGGGCCUUAGCCCAUCUCAGUACAAAAAUGGUCAUGCAGUAGGGCUUCAACCCAUCACAGUAUCAGUAGCAGUAACAAAUAUGCAGUCAUAGAAAUCCUACCAAUCCAGCCUCUACACACCAUCUUCGUCCAAUCCUACACUCCAUGUGGGGAUAUAAUCAACCCACCCAUCCCUACACUCCAACUAGCACCGAAUGCAACACUAGACAGUAGUUUGCAGCUGUGCUGCCAGUAAAUUAGGCUCGAAGCCUUUCAGUACACUUCCUCCGAAUAAUAUUAACCCCCAACCCAAUAGAAUGUAAUAUAUAAAUAUGACAUGCUAUAACAUAAUAUCAUGAAUGUAAUCAAGGCAUACAGUAUCAAAUCAGUGGGACAUCAUCAUACUUUUUCCAUAUUAGUCAUAUAGUCAUUUCAGUUAAUUAGGGGUUUAGGUAAUGCUUACCGACCCUACAGUAAGUUCACAAUUGACUUGGGCUACCCGUGCAACCUUAGGAAACAUCUCGGCAAAAUGGGCUCACGCGCUCAUGUGGCUUGCCCGUGUGGGCCUACACGCAUGUGUAGCCCACACGGCCCAAAUUGGCCUUGGCUGUGUGGAUCAGACGGCCUGGCCAAUAUCCCACACGCCCGUGUGGGCCCACAUGCCCUUGUGGCCCACACGACCCAAUUUAGUUGAGCCCGUGUGUUGCACACGGCCUACCUGGCCAUCAUACGAUCUUGUUUGGUGCGCACAGCCUGGCCUAGUCGACCACACGCCCGUAUUACAGCACACAGCCUACUACACAGCCUAUCACACGGCUGUGUGGCGUUGACAGAAUAGUUUUUGACUUUCGUCGAAACCUCGUUUUCUGAGUUUUCGGGUACACACCUGGUAUCGAAUUGAUGCAAUAGCACUCCUAUAAAGACCAGCACCCUACAACGUUAUAACAACUUCUAAAAUCAGUCACAAAUCUCGAUUAAACUAAAACCUCGAAAACGAAAAUAGCCCAAAUAGGGCGUUUAUCAUUUACCCUAAACACUCCGAUUGAUUCCCACUAAAGUUCCACCAAAGAGGAGCUCCGACCUUCGUGAAUCAUUGCUGCCAAAAUCCAGAAUUAAACUAAUGAAAAUCAAUGACACAAUAACGAUAUAAAAAGAAAAUCCCCCCUUAAAACGAGUAAAACCUUACCCACACUACCGAAGCACAGGCAGUUGGAAAGCCGGAAAACUGGAGUUGAACAACACCAGAAAGAUGAAGAAAUAAAGAAAAGGAAGAGACAGACGCCCGGGAGGCUGCGAAUUUUUAGUAGAGAGAGAAAAAGAAUUAGCAAAAGAACAAUCAAGGGAUAUUCCCUCAAUCCCUUAAUCCUCUUCACUACCCACAGAACAGAUAACUUCCACAGAAUUUUGGUUUAACAGAAACUCUCACCGCAACACUGGGCAAAAAUAAACCCCCUUGCAGAUAUUCGAACUCAAGACCUCCAGCUCACCAAAAUUUCCCCCUAACCACCAGACCAGUAGGGCCAUUCUAAUAUAAUAUUACAAGCAUUUUAAAUAAAAGCCUACUGAACAAAGUUAAGGCUUUACUCAGAAAAAUCCAAAAUUUUUCCAAAGACAAGACUUGAACUUAAGACCUCUCACAUACACCCAGAACAUUUAACCACUAAAGUAGAUACACAAUUGUGUCACAAACACACAGAAAUAAAUAUACAAACUUUAGGGUGUUACACCCUUAUCGUUAACAAACCGAAGUCGCAACUCUUAAUUCUUUGUAGCAACACCGAUCAAAUAUUGCCCCUCGCCUAAACCAGGAGUAACAAAACAAUUUUUCAUCAAUCAUCAAGUCGAAUAACAAAAAGACUUAUAAAAAAACAGAACUUACUGAACGAGGCAGUCAAUGUUUGCACAAAACUAACUAGUUGAAUCCAGAAAAAGAAUCGAAAAGAAGGUUUUCUGCAGUGAAUUUCCUUUGGGAAAACAUUUUUACUCAAAUCCCUAGAUUCACUUAACCACUCACCCACUACUUAGAAUUCCUGUUUGACCGAAACUCUCUCGGUCAAACGAGCAAAAAUAAACUCCUAUGCUCAAGCAGGGAAUUAAACUCCAAACCCCCAACACACCAACACAUAUCUUAACCACCAGACCAGCAGGCCCAUUCUGAUAUAGUUUAAUAAAUAAUUCAACAUAAGCCUGUUGAGCUAGCACAAGGCUUAAGUUAGAAAAAUACCAAAAUUUGCUAAAGGCAUGGCUUGAACUUGAGACCUCACACACACAUACCCAGAACAUUUAACCAUUGAAGCAGAUACUCAAUUGUAUCACAAAUUCACAAAAAAACAAAAAUAAGAAUUUUGGGGCGUUACACUCAUGUAUUCAUUAAUGGCAUUAUUCAAAAUCUUUAACAGUUUUGCAAAAUAGUCCCUAGGCUAGCUAGACCUAAUUGCAACUAUCUCAAAAACAUAGAAAUCAUUAAAAACGAAAUAAAAACGUACUUACAAUUGAGUAUCAAAGUAACCAAAAGUUUCAAGCCCUAAAAUGGCUUUUCUUCGUGCUUCAUUCGGCCAAGGAAGACAAUAAUGAAAUAAUUUUUUAUUUUGUUUUAUUUAAUUAACCUUAAUUGACAAAUUACUAAAUUAACCUUAAUGAUAAAACAUUUAUUAUAUCAUCCAUUUCAUGUCCAUUAAUGACCGCUUACUUUAAUAAUGGUCCAUUUAUCACUUAAGGACCUUCACAUUUAAUAUUCAUAGUCAUUUAGAGUAUUAGCAAAUAGAAUUCAACUUUUACGCUUUCCGCGAUUUAGUCUUUUUUACCGAAUUAAUUAUUCAAACGAUAAAAUUCCUUAACAAAAUUUUCACACAACUAUACUAUCAUGCCAUAGACGUUAAAAUAAUAAUAAAAUAGUUAUUUUAGCCUCAGAUUUGUGGUCCCGAAACCAUUGUUCUGAUUUGACUAAAAACAGACUGUUACAUAGGUAAAUCAAAGUAGAUGAGAAAUAUGGAGUCAAAUCAAGGAUGAAUUUAUAACUUUUAUAACUUUUCUUCAAAAUUUAACAAAAAGUAAAUAAAAAUAAUAUUUUUUUACUCCUAAAUUAAACAAUUAGAUUCACUUUGGUACUUUUAUCUUUUACAUCCAUUUUGAUAUCUAAAUUUAACAAUUAAAUAUAUUUCAAACUCUAACAGGGAAAACAUAAGAACACUAAAAUGGGUUCACUGUCUUCACUCCUAGACCUAAGAUUAUUUGUAUUCAAACGGUUAAUCAAACUGAAUUAGUAUUAACCAAAUUAACCAAACUUUUUAAUCAUUUAACCAUUAAUUGUACCAAUUUUUUUUCAAAAAAAUUAACCAUACCGAAAUAUUUCGGGUAAUUCAAUUGGUUAACUGAAAUUUAUGUUUUUUUUUGUUAAAACAAGUAUAAAAACAUAUCAAAAUAAAUAAAUUAAUAAUGUUCAUUUGACCGAAUUAACCGAAUUAGUAAGAGAUUGAUACAUAUAAUAUAUAAUAUUAUUUAUUAAGUUCGGUUAAUCACUCGAUUUCAAAUCGAAUUAACCGUUAACCGAAAUUUUAAAAAACUUUUAAUUACCUUUCAACAAAACUAAAUCGAUUAACUGAAUUAAAUCGGUUCAGUCAAUUAAUUCGAUUUUAAUCGAAAUUUGUAAACUAGAGAUUGAUAUAUUUGAUUAGGGAUGAGCAUUCGAUCGAGUUGAGUCGAAUCGAGUCAAAAAAUUUUGAGUUAGUCGAGUUGACGAAUCCUAUUUUAGCAACCGAAUUCAAUUUGAAUUUUUUUUCAAAUCAGAUCGAAUCGAGUCAAAAAAUUUCGAGUCGAGUUAACGAAUCUUAUUAUUUGUACUCAAUGUUGCGCUUUACAUGAACCGAUUAUUUAAAUAGGAAACGAAGUAUAAAAUUAUUUAACAACAUAAACAAUAUAAUGGUUUUGCAUUUUAACUUAAUUAGUAAACAUUUAUCAAAACAACAUAGUUUUACCUUUUUAAUUUAAUGGUUUUGACUUUUAACUUUAGAAAGGUAAACAUUCAUCAAAAUGACGUAGUUUUGCUUUUUUUUAUACGGAUUUUUGAAUAACUCGAAUUGUGUAAUUCACAUUCGAAUUAAACUAAAAAACUUUUUUUAUUCGAGUUGACCUAAAUAACUUGAUUAACUCAAAUAACUUAAAAUAUUUAAUUCAAAAUUUAAAAAUUUUAUCAAAUUUUUCGAAUCGAAUUAAAUUUUUCUCACUUCUAUAUUUGAUUGUGCAAGUCCAAAGGGUUGAAUAAAAGAAUCGGGACAUCUUUAUUGCUGAUGAUAAAAAAUUGGAAAUAGGGUGUGCGUGGCAAACAUUGCCCUGACGUAUAGAAUUAUUAUUUAAUAUGCCCUGACGUAUAGAAUUAUUAUUUAACAUCGCUUUUGUCAGCUUUAUGGAUAAUUUUUUCAAACCCAAAAAUACUGAAAUAAUGGAAAAUAAUUGCACCAAAUCCACUUAGAAAAUGCAUUAAUUGCUAAAGCUGUCAUAUGUACUCAAGGGGAAGAUCUUAAUACUAAAAUUUUUCAUAAUAUUAUUUUUUGAUAUAAUUUUUUAUUUAUAUAAUUAAUAUCAAUUUUUAUAAUAUUUAAAUUUAUAAAAAAAUUAUAUAAAUUUAAUUUUAAAAAAACUUAAUACUAACUUAUAUCCCUUUUAUAACUAUUUUAAUAUUGACAACUUUAUAAAAAACAAAGUGUAUAAAAGAUUAUUAGUUUUGUUAUACAUUUUAUAAUACAAUUAUUAUUAUGCUAAUAUUGCAAUAAAUGAUACCGUGUCAUUUUAAUUAAAGUAAAUAUCUAUUUUCAACAUAUUACAUAUGUUAAUUAAUUAUUAGUUUUAUUUUUUAAAAUUAAACUAAUAAUAAUAUUUUGAAAUAACUAUUUAGAGUAGAUAUUAAAUUAUUAAAGUAAACACGUAUUUUCAACAUUAAUAUAUUAUAUAAAAUAAAUAAUGUCAUAAAUAUAUGUGAAUUUUCAUGUAAAUUGUUACAUAAUAUUAUUAAAAAAAUUAAAUUUUCGUUAAUAUUAUCAUUAGAAAAAAUAAUUUAACUUAUUUUUUAAAGAUUGAUGAUAAAAUUUAACUAGAAUAAUAACAAAAUCAUAAUAAAUGUUAUUAAUAGCGGAAUUUGACAUUAUGCUAGGGAUACCACAAUAGGCAGCUUGCAAGUGAUCACAGGGUACUGCUCUUAAUCUACAUAAAAAUGCGAGAAAGGAAGUAGCAGAGGAAGAAGGUUAGUGAGAGAGAAUAAAACCCCAAACCAUUAUUAUGGCUGAAAUUAGCAGCUUAAGAAUCGAUCCCAAGAGUGGGUUUUGUUCUUCCAAUUCUACUUUCUACAGCAAACGCGUUCCCUUUCCACUUCCAUCCAACCAUGCCCUUGACAUCACCACUUUUAUCUCCUCUUACCCUCACCAUGGCAAAACCGCCUUCAUCGACGCCACUACCGGUCGCCACCUCUCCUUUUCCCAACUUUGGCAAUCAGUUGACUCCGUUUCCACAUGUCUGUCCGAAUUGGGUAUUCGGAAAGGAAACAUCGUCAUCAUCAUCGCACCAAACUCCAUUUUCAUACCCAUUGUUUGCCUCUCUGUGAUGUCUCUUGGAGCUAUUAUAACCACUAGCAACCCCCUCAACACGUCUCGUGAAUUCGCGGUACAAAUGGCUGAUUCAAAGCCCGUCCUCGUCUUCACCACUUCUCAAGUCGUCCCAAAAUUGGCUGGAUCACCUCUCCCCAUCGUACUUCUCGACGAGCAAGUGGCGACCGAAAAAACAGGCCAAGUCAAAAUAGUUACUACUAUUAGUGAAAUGUUAAAGAAGGAAACAAAGGACAAGAUCCGAGUGAGGGAUCGAGUGUACCAAGAUGACGCGGCAACUCUACUCUAUUCCUCGGGCACGACGGGUGCCAGCAAGGGAGUAAUAUCAUCUCACGGAAACCUCAUGGCUCUAAUGCAAAGUUUUUCACAUUUGAGCAAUCCAGACGAAGGGGAGCAAACCCAUAUCUGCGCCGUUCCCAUGUUCCACAUCUACGGCUUCGGAGCUUUUGCCAUCGGGAAACUCACGCAAGGAUCAAAAGUAGUUGUUUUAUCAAAGUUCGACAUGAAGGAAAUGCUGUCGGCAAUAGAGAAGUACCGUGUCACUUGCCUCCCCCUGGUGCCACCUAUACUCUUGGUAAUGGUGAAGGAAGCUGAUGAGAUACGAAAGAAGUACGAUUUGAGUUCGUUGCAAUCAAUAGUGUGCGGUGGCGCUCCGUUGAGCAAGGAUUUGAUAAAUAGGUUUAUGGAAAAGUUUCCAAGCAUUGAUAUUCGGCAAGGGUACGCGAUGACAGAAUCGACAGGAUUUGGCGCAUCAAUGCAAACGCCGGGGGAGUGUCUCAAGUAUGGCAGUGUAGGGUUGCUAUCGCCGAACUUGGAAGCCAAAAUUGUAGACCCUACAACUGGUACGGCCUUGAAGGUCAAUCAGAAAGGGGAGCUUUGGCUAAGGGGUCCCUCCAUUAUGAAAGGUACGUAAUUUAUGAUCAAUCAAUUUUAGGUGGAGACAGUGAGUGUGUCCCCAUAUUGCGUGUAUUCAAGACAAGUCCAAAUAAUUUUAUCAAAUGCAAAGAUCUUUGCUUUGAUUUUGUUUUCGGCAUGUUGUUAAUUUUUAAUCCCAGGAGAAAGAUCUUUGCAAUUAAGAAGAAUAAACAAGAUUUGCCUGGCGAGUCCCCGGGAAAGAAUAACACGAAAUCCACUUAAAAAAUGCAUUGCUGUUACAUCUAAUUAUGUAUUUUUCUAAUAUUGAUAAUUAUUUUAUUGAAUGUAUAUAUUUUGCUGACUAUUUAACCAUUUCAAUUUCAACUAUGGGAGUAAAUUAUUAAUAUUAAAAUUACAAAAUAAUUAUUUCAUUAUUUUUAAAAUGUUCAUAACCCCCUUAAAAUACCGUUUGAAACACAUGUAUAAUAUAUUUAAUAUCCACGUAAUUAUCAAAUGGUAUUUUAUAGAUUUUUAAAAUUUAAUAAUUAAAAUGUGAAUUUAUUAAUAAUUUAGUCACCUAAUUUGUAUUACUUCACUUAUAUUUAAUGAAAUUGAAUCCAAGUAGACUGAAAUUUCAAUUUAUCAAGAUAACAUAAGAAAAAUAUGGGAUUAUCCAAAGUUUAAACAUUAUGAGCUCAAGGGAAAGUUGUUGAAUCAUAUAUUCUAAUUUAGUAAUGAAAUCUUACAUCCCUAUCCAGAGCUUCCUAAAUUUUAUACUAACAAAAAAAUCAUAAUUUUUCUUAAUCUAAGCCCCCAAUCAGUAAUGAACUCUAAACUUAUAUAGUAGGAUUGAUAUAUGUAAUAUUUUAACAUGAAAUUUGGAUAUCCUGAAAAGUUAGAGAUGUGUGUUGUUGAUUGGUGGGCCUGCUGCUGCUGCUGCUGGUAUUUUAGGUUAUCUGAAUAAUGCAGAAGCCACAGCAGCUACUCUCGAUUCACAAGGAUGGUUAAAAACCGGUGAUCUUUGCUACAUCGAUGAUGAUGGCUACGUCUAUGUUGUUGAUAGGUUGAAGGAGCUGAUCAAAUACAAGGGAUAUCAGGUCACCGCAUAGUUCACAAUUUGCUUCAUAUAUUCUAUACAAAAUCACAGGUUAACCAUUUACACUUACAGGCUUUAUUUAUAUUUGUUUUAGGUUCCUCCUGCUGAAUUGGAGGCAUUGUUACUUUCUCACCCACAGAUUUCUGAUGCUGCUGUCAUACCGUAAGUUUAUAUAGAGCUGCUUCCACUUGAAACACCCUUUGUUGCACAAGAUUCAGAGAUAUUAUUUGGUUUGCGAUUAGGUUUCCGGAUGAAGAGGUUGGGCAGUAUCCCAUGGCGUAUGUGGUUAGAAAAAGUGGAAGCAAUAUAUCAGACACUGCACUCAUGGAUUUUGUAGCAAAACAAGUAAGCAAUUAUAUACAUACAUACAUACAUAUAAUAGUGUUUUAAACCCAAGAUUGCGAAUGGGUAUGAUGAUUUAGCUUAAGCUAUGAAAUGAACAAAAUAGGUUGCACCAUACAAGAGAAUUCGGAAAGUGGCAUUUGUAACUUCAAUACCCAAGAAUCCAUCUGGGAAGAUUCUAAGAAGGGAUAUCAUCAAGCUUGCAAUUUCCAAAAUUUGAGGGCAUCUCGUUUGCAGCUCUAUAAUAAUAAUAAUAAUAAGAUGAUGAAUGCAUUUCCAAAGUAAAGUUUCACUUCUUUGAUUGUUUCGGAGAUGGGAGUUUUUCAUUUCUCAUGUCUGGUUCAUCAAUGUGGUUCUCAAUAAUUUCAUUUUUAAAAUUUAAAUUUGUGUUGUCCUAAUAAAAGUUACAAUAUACUGUAUCAGCACUUAAUAUUUGUUGUUGUCUGGAAUAAAUUUUAAGUGGGACAAUGAUUGAUCUGAUAAAUUUGUUUAGCGUUAUCAUUGCUAUUCCCGUCUGUCCAAGGCAUUCAUUCGGCUUUAUGCUUUUUGUUUGAUCUGAUAAAUUACAUUAAAAAUAUUUUUGAUUGAUAUAAUAAUAUUUAGCUCCUAAAAUUAAGAUAUUCUAUCAAUAUAGUUUCAAUUUAAUAGAUUUAAUUUCGACAUUUAAUAAUAUAUAUUAAGGGUUAAAUUUGUUAAAUUUUUUAGAAUCAAGAUCAAAUUGACAAAAUAUGUAAAUAUUAAGGGUUAAAUAUGUUUAUAUACCAAUCAAAUUUGUGUACAAUUAACGAAAUAUAUUUACAAUAUAAUUGAUUACCUUUAAUUGCUCACUUUUAAAAUUGAUAAAGAUUAAAAUACUCCAAUCUUUUUAAAAAGAACUAAUUUACUUAAUUUUAAAAAUAAGAGGUAUUGGAAAGGUAUUUUUACCAAGAAAUUAUAGAGAUGUUGUUUAAAAUUUUUUAUGUUAUAGUUAUUCAAAAUUGCAUUCAAUUUCUAAGCCUCUUCUAUUUGUAUCCCUUAUUAUCAGAAAACAAAAUCCUUGCAUUAUGAUAAUGGCAUGAUUGGUACUCGGCCAUUUCGAAUUAUUUAGUUUCUCUAUCACAACACUGUGCUUCUUUUUAAUAAUAUAUUUUUAUAAUUUCAAAAUAUAUAUUUAUUAGUUAAUGAAAAUUGGUGUAAUUUAUAAUAAAAAAUUCAUUAAUUUUAAAAAAUAAUGGAAAGAAUAAAAUAAUAUUAAUAUGCUAUCAUAAUAAUUAAUAUUAUCACACUAAUUGUAACAUCCCUACCCGUAUCUGUCACCAGAACAGGGUACGAGGCAUUACUGGAGUUACAAAUUUAUUUAUCAGACAUUUUAUUUCAUCUAACAUUCAUAGUUGGGACCAAUCAAAAUCAAACAUAUUGCCCCCUAAACAUACUUAUUUUCCUUGUAUCAACGUAUAAAAAAUAAUCACAUAUUUACAUGUCAUGAUAAAUAUCAUUCUCUUGCCGUUUCUUCAUAAACAUAAAUCAGUUAAUUCAUUAUAUCAAUAUUUCAUGUACCAUCAACUCGUAUUUCCUUAUAUCACAUAAUUAGGUUUCAUGAACUUAUCUGGCUAAAUUGCAAAAAUACCAAGAUUCAGGGGCAUUUCGAUAAUUUUAUAUUUUCCUCGAUUUUUCAACCAAUCUUGACCUAAAUUAAUAAUUUCAUUCAAUUUAUAAAUUUAGACAAUAAAAUAAUUCAUUUCACUCAAUUUGGUCAUUUUUGAUAUUUUUACAAAAUUGACCCUAAAGUUUUACUUUUAUUCAAUUUAGUCCCGAGCCUAAAACAUGCAAUUUAACCACUUUAAUGUAACCCAUGAUAACUAAAUAUUCAUAUAUAUUUUCCUCCUCCUCUCCAUUCCACAUCCUUAAUAUAUAUAAUUCCACUAUUUUCUCAUAUGUUCAUAUCAAGCUGUCCACUUGAGUCAUAGUCACUAAAUUAUUUAUAUCUUGAGAUACAAAAUUCUAAAUUAAUAACCGCUUGAUGUUUCUGAAACUAGACUCAAAUAUAUUUCUACCAUAAAAAUUUCAGAAUUUAUAAUUUAGCCAGUAAGUACGGUAAAAUCUUCAAACUUACCCCUAUUCUACUGUUUAACAGCUUCGACCUUUCCUUACUAAAAAUUAAUUAUCUUUUAGUACAAAAUUUGGAUGAUGUUUCCGUUUGUUUCUAUUGAAAAUAGACUCAUUAAAUAUUUAAACAUAUAAAUUUAAUCCCCUAAUUAUUUUUAUCCAAUUUUUUUUAUGAUUUUCCAAAGUCAAAACAGAGGAACCAGAAAUUAUUCUGACCUUGUUUCAUAAAAUUUAUUAUAUCUCACAAUUUACAAUUCCAUUGCUUACACGUUUCUUCUAUGAAAAACUAGACUCAAUAAACUUUAAUUCCAUAUUUUAUUCAACCUCCAAUUUGAUUUCCACAAUUUUUGGUGAUUUUUUAAAGUUUAACUACUGCUGCUGUCCAAAACUGUUUUAGUGCAACAUAUUGAUUACUAAGUUUAUAACACUCUUAUUUCCAUUCUCUACAAUAUUUCCCACCAUUUUCUCUUAUUUCCUUUCACUAAUAUAUCAAGAACAUAGAACCUUAUAUAAGAAAACUUUACCUUAACAUUAUUUUCAUGCUUUUGAUAUUACCUUACAUGAGAAACUCUACUUAAAAAAUAUUGAUGAAGUCUUAAAGUUUUUACCUUGUCCUAUUGAUUUUAAUCUUUAAUUUGAUUUUUCUCUCUCCUCCAACUUCUAUUUCUUGAAUCCAACUUGAUAUUCUAACUCCCCUUAGUCUCCUUAACAUUUUUAUCUCUUGGUAGCUAUGGAAAUUCUUUUGAUUUCUAGGUGAAAAUGGUAAAUUUUUGGUGGAAGGACUAAUUUGUAAAGAAAGCAAAACUUUCUUUCUUCUCUUCUCUUCUAACGUGAAAUGCAUGGAAAGAUGAUGGAUGGUGUGUGUGGGGGGAAAUUUACUAAAAAAAUCCCUUUUAUUUCGUUAUUUACCAAGAUGGCCCGACUUUUUGAUUAUUUGCUGGAAAUGACCAUUUUCCCUAAAAGCGCGUUCACGUCAGUGCGAAGUCAGGGGACGUGUCAGCAAAACGCUCUCCCAGGGAAGCGUUUUGCCCCCAAGGGUCACAUGACCGUUUGAACUCCAAACUCCAACAGUCAAAAAAAAAUAUAAAAGGCCCCUCCCCCUUUCAUUUUUUCACACAAUAGUCCUUUCACAAUUCUCUUUAAAUUCUUUCUAAAUUCUCUCAAAUUUCUCUCCAAUUUCAUCAAAGCUGUCUCUAAUUUUUGCAAAAAAGCUUUGUUAAAAUUUAUUUUAAAGUAGUUUUAUUUUAUAGAUUACAAAAAUAUCCGAUCGUAUUAGCAAUGGCCGGAGAAUUAAUUUGUUUCGAUACGAAACAAAUUUCCGUCGAUCAAAUGACAAUGGUAAGUGAUAAGUUUAAUUAAUUUUUGAAUAGUAUUUAAUUUUUUUCAUUUAUGUAAUUUUAAUUAAUAUUUAUUUUAUAAUUUUUUUAUAACAGUCUGUAGAUCGGGUGUUGCAAUGCUAUAUCCGUAAUAUGUCUGGUCCUCCAUCGCCAUUGAUAGAGAAUUACCUGCGGGAAGCGGGUUUUUGGCACGUGGCCACGAUAGGCCGGGGGUGUAAGUUGGACUCGAAACUAAUCAGUGCAUUGAUAGAGAGGUGGAGACCCGAGACACACACUUUUCAUCUUCCAUGUUGAGAGUGUACUAUCACUCUAGAAGACGUGCAAUUGCAAUUGGGAUUGCCGGUCGAUGGAUACGAAGUCACUGGGUCCACUCAAUCUGCUGAUUGGGGGGCCAUAUUCUAUGAGCUUUUGGGUGCUAUUUCGGAUAAUAUUAAUAGAGGUAGGAUCGAGAUGGGCUGGUUACGAGACACAUUUUCGGAGCCGGAUAAUGAUUCGUCUGAAUUAGAAAGAAUACGAUAUGCUUGGGCAUACAUUCUUGAGAUGAUUGGAGGUUAUCUGAUGCAGGACUUGUCACGAAAUCACGUACAUCUGAGAUGGCUGUUGAAACUCGUUGAUUUUAGAGCAGUAGGUGAAUUAAGUUGGGGGUCUGCUGUGUUAGCAACAUUGUACCGGGAGAUGUGCGGGGCGACACGACCGAAUAAAGCCAAAAUCAGAGGAUGCCUAUCACUACUGCAAUCAUGAGCACGGUUUCGCUUUCCAUUUUUACGUCCUCGAGUGAACCACCCAUAUACAUUCCCACUAAUUGUAACAGCCCGAUUUUGGGCAUAGUCGGAACAGUGGUUUUGGGACCACUAUUUCGAGGCCAGAGAAAAUUAUUUUAGUAUUAUUUUAUGUGUUAUAAUAUAAUUUUAUAAGUGCAUGUAAAUUUUGGUAAGUUAAUUUUAGCGAUUUCUAGUCCAAUUUCGAAAAAAGACUAAAUCGCGUAAAAGGUAAAAGUUGUAUUUUAGUGCCUAAAGGUGUUAAUAGACUAGAGAACUAAAAUUGGAGGCCUUUAAAGGGCAAUUGGACCCUUUUAAUAAAAUAAAAAUAGGAUGAUAUCAUCCCUUUUUCAUCUUCUCUCCACCGAUUUUUCCAGCCAAGAAAUGGGUUUUGAAAGCUUCAUAUUUUCAGCAACUUUGAGGCUUAGCAAGUAAAUGAUUUUAAUGUCUUUCUUGAAGAUUUUUACAUUUUUGUAACCCCUAAAGCAUGAGCUUUCAUAAGAGGGGACUAUUGUGCAAAAUGAUGAAGAGUCUAGGGUUUUGCCAUAAGAGUAAAUGUGUGGUUUGUUGUGUUUUUAUGGAAGAUUAUGAGUUCUAGUUGUCUAAUAAACAACUUUUGUGAAAGAAAUUGCAUGAAAACACCCUAAAAAGGGCUAGAUUGCUAAGUUGUAAAAGGAGUUAUAAAUAUGUGAAAUAGUUGAAAUUAUGAGUUGCUAUAGUUAUGAAAAUGGUUCAUCUAGACUCAAGGAGUAAAGAAAUGUGAUAAAAAUUAUUUUACGAGCCUAGGGGUAAUUUGGUAAUUUUGGUAAAAUAUAGGGGCAAAAUUGUAAAAAUAGCCCAAGUGUGUCAAUGGACUAAUUUGAUCAGUACAUUGUUUUAAUAAGUUGAAUGUGAUGUUUUAGAUGAUGAAAAUCGAGAUUUGGACCUAGAACGGAAAUAAAUCGAUUAAGGGAUAAUUACGUCUUUUUUUUACCUUUGUGGUAUUGAGGUAAGUUCGUAUGUAAACAAUACCAUGUUAUACAUGUAUUUAAAUGUUAUCCUUACAUGAAUUGUACAAAUAUUAAUGUGUAUGUGAUUAAUAGAAAUAUGAUAAGACAGAGCCUUAAUAGACGAGGAAAAAUCCCGUUUGAACAUUUGGAAUAGAAUAGGAUACGAGUGACAUGUCACUAGGAAUUAUGAGUCUAGAUGACUAGCUCGAGAGUGAGCAUUGAAAUGUCAUAAGAUAUGAGGUAGCUUUAGCUACAAUUGAGGCACUUAUGUGCAAAGGCUUUUCCGAGUAUCCAAUUAGUAUUCCAAGUGUUCAACGGGUAAUCCAAGGAAAGAGUUGAUGAUGGUCCCAAUGAGGUAAGUCAUUGGUGAGUAUGCACUUGAGUUAUGUUACGAGUUGUGCAAGUAUGUAUACUAAGCCUAUGAGAAUGCCUUGAUAUGUGAUGAUCUAUGAUGCAUAAUAUGUGUUCUUACCAUGAUGGAUGAAAUGAUGUUGUAUUAAUUUUGUGAACAAUGAUCAUGAAUGAGUAACUUAGCCUUGACAGAUUUGAGUUACUGCAGUAGUGUAACUUUGAAAAUACACUAAAAAUAGCGGAAAAUGAGUUAGAGGCAGAAUAAAAUAUGGGAUUAAAUCUUAAUGAGUCUUUUUUCACAUGAAAGAAACAGGGGAAGAAAAAUAAUUCUAUAUUGUGUGAUAUUUGAAUUCUUGUAAAACAGGGUCUGAAUGAAUUCGAGAUCCCCUGUUCUGAUUUUAUAAAUUCACCAUAAAUUGUAAAAAAAUUAUUAAGAGUCAUAUCUUACAUGAAUGGAUUCCUUAUUAAGUCUAUUUUUACGCGAAAUAAACGGCAUGGUCAUUGGAAUUCUGUACAGGGAGAAAUUCAGUUCGUAGUGUAGAGGGGUCAGAGUAGUCAUACCCCGAAACAUGGAAUACUUUAACUAAUAAACUGUACUAAAUGGCUUGACCAAAAAUUUUGAAAAUUUUAUGGAAGAAAGAUAAAUGAGUUUAAUUUCAGGUAAAAUUUAUGGAACUUAAUUCGGAGUUUCGUAGCUCCAGAUAUAAAUAAUUUAGUGACUGUUGUGCAGGAAGACAGCUUGUCUUAAACUUGAGAAUAUGUUGUAAAAAUUGAUAAAACAAGUUAAUGAGUUGCUUAUUGUUUUCAUAUGAACUUACUAAGCGGAAGCUUACCCCCUUCUUUUCCAUGUUCUCUAGGGUUUCCAGGUUUGUUCGGGUUGGAGUUCGUCGGAGAUAUUAUCACAUUGUCAAGCUAAUGUUAUUGGUGUAGUGAUUUCAAGUACUUUGAGUCUAUGGCAUGUAUAGGAGUUUAAAUAUUAGAGUAUGUGAUAUGGCUUUGACCAUAUGUGUUGGCCUAUUUUGAUUAUGGGAUUAUAAAUUCAUUUUAAUUAUUUGAGAUUUCAUGGCUCUGUUUAGUAUAGAAGUGUUAGUAAAAGUUAGGUAGCACCUCGAACCCCGUCCCGGCGUCGGAUGCGGGCGAGAGGUGUUACACUAAUAACGAGGUAAAUUUUAUAUUAGAUUUUACAAUUAUUACAUAGAUUAAAAUAUAAUUGUAUGCUAAAAAAUUAUUUAAUUAGGUGGAACCAUUCGGCCAGUUAUAUUGGAAUACCCACAUCUCUUGAAGAUAUACAGCUUCUAUUAGACCAACGGUCGGAAGCACAAGUAAGUAUUAAAAUAAAAUAUAUAUAUACAUAAUAAAAUAGUUGUUUCGUAUUUAAUAUUUAGUAUUUAGUAUUUAGUAUUACCUAUAUAACUAAUAUUUUUAUCAUGUUCAUAUAGUUUCAAUGGACACCAUACGAGGAUCCGGCAAUUCGGGCAGUAAUUCGGGAUGAAUUUUUUUAAAAUCCGAACAUUUGGCAUGUGAAGUUCCCAUUGGUCAACUAUGCUAUCGUGGAGAUGCACCAGUCAGAUAGGGUAUUGCGGCAAUUUGGAUUCCGACAACUGAUUCCCGUGGAACCUGAGGUGCUCGAUGAUGAGCACAAAGUCGACUUACGGCUAUUGAAUACGGAUUGGCCGAGACACUGGUCAGGAUAUAUCGAAAUAUGGGAAAAUCAGUAUGACUAUAUAGCUACUCGAGAAUCGAUAAUCGUUCCUAAGUUAGCAUGCGUGCCAAAAUACAUGCCAUGGUUUAGGAUCCAUGGCAAGCCAUAUUUACUAUCGGAAGAGAAGAGGCGACGGCAAAUUCCUGUGCAAAGGAAACGACGAGACCCUUUAAAUCCAAGAAGAAGGGAUGAUGACGCGGGCCCAUCAGCAGCCUUUUCAGAUUAUGCUAGGUACGUAUCCUAGCCAUUAUAUGUAUCUUAACCCUUUUAUGUUUCCUUUUUUUAGUCCUAUGGCAGGUUGAAAUGCAUGGCCCGGUUCAUCUCCGUUCCUAAUUACUCCAAGUCAACCGUCGAUCAAUAGGCCACUGUCGCAAGAGGGAUCGCACGAGGCGCCGUCGGGGAGCUCUUCUUUUUACCAUUCCCCAUCGCCUUAUGGGAUUCAAACACCUUUACCAUGGGUGAUGCAAACACCUCCGCAUUCAUUAUUCUAUCAAGGUGGGUGAUCCUCCCAACACCCACAACCAAAUCCCCUACCGGAGGAACCACAAUCCCCACUGGAGCAACCACAACCCUCGCUGGAAGCUGAACUAAAAAGGAAUUCAGCGCGUAACCGUCGACGACCCCCAUGUGACACUGAUUUCUACCGACACCAACAUUGAUUUUUUUAAUAUAUUUGUAGAAACAUUUUUAUAUAGUUUUAUAUAAUAAAAUAAAAGUUGUUUUUAAUAUUUUAAUUGUACUUUACUUUUUUUAAUUUUAUUAAAAUAAAUGUUCUUUUAAAUUAGCCAAUAUUUUUAUUAUUUUUAUGUUUAUUUUUAUAUAGUUUUAAUUAAUAAAAUAAAUUUUUUUUAAUAUUUUAAUUGUACUUUAAUUUUUUUAAUUUUAUUAAAAUAAAUAUUCUUUUAAAUUGGCCAAUAUUUUUAUUAUUUUUAUAUUUAUUUUUAUAUAGUUUUAAUUAAUAAAAUAAAAGUUGUUUUUAAUAUUUUAAUUGUACUUUACUUUUUUUAAUUUUAAUACAAUAAAUGUUCUUUUAAAUUAGCCAAUAAUUUUUAUUAAAAUAAAUGUUAUUUUGAAUACAGCAAUAUUUUUAAUAUUUUUUAUAUUUUUAAUAAAAUAUAAAUAAUGCAAAAUAAUUUUAUUACAACAACUAUCAGGUAUUCCGAUUUGGACAUGAUCGAGUUAUAUGGCUUGGGUUCCUACACCAUCCGCACAACCUCUGUUGGUUCGUUGCUUCUCAGGUAUCCAUAUUGUUACAUAUUCUAGUUGAGCAAGGUCGACCCUUUGGUUUGCGAUGCAAUUCUCUAUCCGGUAACAACUUAAACGGAGAAAGCAGUACAGGCGGCCACUUACGUUCAUCUGUGAUCGGUGGGAAUACGUGUCUCCACAUAUUGUACAUGUAUUCUAUUUUGUACACUUGGUCAACAUACGUUAUGGGAUCCAGACGGAGAUUCUGACAAGCUGCAAUUACAUGAGUGCAUGGAUAACGUAGUGCGUCAAACACUCCACAGUUGCAUGUCUUAUUUCUCAAGUGUGCACGAUAUUGCCUAGCAAUAAUACCUUGGUUCGGUCUGUCAAACUCCGUCACACGAAACCAUAGGUUGUCGCGAUCAUGACACACUAUGUGCAUGGUGUUGGCUCGUGCCUUCGCCUUGUUAAUCUCUCGCAACACCUUCGCGUACCAUACAUGGCCUCCCUGCAUUUGGCCUUUAUAACUCGCUGCUCGCUUUGAAAAUAGUGCCGCUAAACGAAAAUAUGUCUCUCAUACAACGACUGUUAUGGAAAAAUGACACGUUCCUUUUAGAACAGAAUUUAUGCAUCCAGCCAAGUUUGAGGUCAUAUGAUCAUAUCGUAGGCCGCCGUUGUAUGCUUGUGUCCACUGUUCGAAAGGUAUGUUACAAAGGUAGUCUGCGCCUUCUUCGUUAACUAAACACAAAACCGCUAACUUUUCAUGAAAACGGUCAUUACAUAUCUCAUACCCUACCAAUAUAAGUUGAUAACGAAAAUUACAUACCACUCUUCCAUUCAGAAUAAAUUGAAUAUUACAAAUAAAAUUAUAUUAAUAGAGAUUAAAUACCCAUGUUGGUUACUUACCGUCGUUCAGUUGUAUAUCGAUAUUGCCCGUAGUAGUUGGACGCAACGUGCCUUAGGCAAUACUGAUGGUGUGUGCGAUGCCAUUGGCUUCCUUGUCGCUCAAUUGUGGCUUGUAUUCUAGUGCCCCGAUCUGAUAUAAUGCAUAUAUCAGGUUAGGGCCAGACAUGCUUCCUUAACCUAGAAAGAAAGAAAUCCAGUCAUCAGCUGACUCCCCCGAUGUUAUUGCAAAUGCAAUUGGAAUGAUUCUCCCACUGCUAUCUUGUGCCACAACUAGCAAUAGUCGAUGGGUAUAUCUACCAUACAUAAAGGUACCAUCAAUUUGUACCAAUGGUUUGCAGUAUAUAAUGUGUCCCGACAUUGCUUAAAGCUCUAGAACAGAUGCUUGAACACUUGGUAUGCACAGAGCAAUUGGUCGUUGUAGUACGCAGGUGCUGUUUCAAGGUCUGUUAUGCAACCUGGGACAUAUCUCUCCAUCACCUGACACCACUGCCAUACUUCAUUAUAUGAAGCGUCCCACCUACCAUGCAUCUUUUCCAACGCCUUCUGCUUAGCUAUCCAAACCUUGCGGUAAGAGGACGUGUACUUCAAUUGGCUACAAAUAUUAGCAAUUAAAACCGUCACUGAAGUCUUCGGAUCUGCCUUCAGCGUCGGUAGUAUUAAGCUAGCUAACAUAUCUGAAUCCAUCUUGGGAUGAUCUUGUGAAACGCAUGUCAAUGAAGUAUGUUAAAUAAUGUAACAUUACGUAAUAACAGUUUUAUUCAAAAACCUUAAACACCUAAUGAUACUUUACCGCCAACACAUGUAUAUGGACCUUUGUACUUUUUAAUCUCCCACAAGUUUGUCUUUUUCCUCAAUGAGGCCAUGCUUUUUCAUGAACAUGUACCGUCUUGCACUGCACACUUGGCCUCAAACUUAUCGGAUUUGAAUUUAACCACGUUGUAGUUAACCCCGUUCAUGAUGUUAUGUUGUUUCAAUGCAGCAAGAAAACUAUCCUUAUUGGAAAACUCCCUACCAACUUCAAUUUCACCCGAAUCUAAUGACGAACUUGUACGAUCACACCUUCUGUGUGGUAGAUCUAGAAACUCCAACGCAUCAUCUUGAAAUAGAUCGACAUUAUGCAUGUAGGCUGAAGGCGAGUACGCCCUGAAUUGCGGAUCUUCUUCAUCUUCAUCUGAACCCACUUCAACAUCUUCAAGUAUUGUUGGAACAGGCUCCGGUUGAGAAAAUAAUCCAACUUCUACACCAUCGGGGCCGGGCUCUCGAGGUGGAUCCACAUUGGAUUCAUCAUUCGACCCACCAUCAUCUGCAACGAACGAGGUCCCCUCGCCGGUGGAUGUUGUAGGGAGUACAUCAUCCCUUCUUCUAUAUGUUUCAUAAUGUCCUCAAUCCGAUGUGGAUUGCCAACCACUAGAAGUUGAUGUCAUUCCCCAGUAUGUAUUUCCAGUAUCAAACAUCGACCCACUAAGGUGCAUGUCUCAUCCACAAAAGGAGUGUCGUGCAGGGGUUGUGUAUUCCAUACUGCUACCAAACACGGGCGCUUCCGUGUUUUACCACCCACUAACGUAGUGUCAGGCAGGAGUCGUGUAUUCCUCUUGAACAGCAUUAAAUUUUGAAGUCGCAAAUGCAUCAUUUGGCGAUGAAAAUUGUACAUAUAACUCAAGAUAAGGUGAUCCACUAGCAAGAUAAGUCUGCACCAUUGCCUCCAAGCUAUGAGGACUUUUGAUGUCGAAUGAGACAUAUCUCAUGGGAUCAACCGAAGUACAAAAUCAAUACUUAAUAGACAAAACUUUCAUUGGCGUCGUUCCGAAGAUUUUACGCCUAAUUCUUUUACGAAGUUCUGUCAAAUCUAUGUUCUGGUUAAAAACCAGUCGCGCUAUGCUCUUCAAUAAAAAAAACAACGCUGUUUUCAGUGUCAUAGACCUCACCAUCAUAGAAAAUAACAGCACUAAUACGUUCACUAAUCUUCAGUUUCUAUUUUACUUUAGCCUCAAUUUCUCUUGUUGUAACUUAUGCAACCUGAGAAUGAAAUCUGGCUCAUUUAUAGUCUAAGGCGUUUUCAGAUACUACUGUAGCAAAAGAGUGUCCACGUGGGAGCUUUUUUCCGUAAUUUUGCUGACAGUGCAUCAUUCUUAAAGCAUUUUUGACACUAUUUGUUCAGAAACAUCUUCUCAAAAUUAUUUUUUCAAAUACUACUGUAGCAAAAUAGCAUCCAUGUGGGAGCUUUUUCCUGUAAUUUUACUGACAGUGCAUCAUUCUUGAAGCGUUUUUGACACUAUUUAUUCAGAAACAUCUUCUCAAAAUUAUUUUUUCAGAUACUACUGUAGCAAAAGAGCGUCCACGUGGAAGCUUUUUUCCGUAAUUAAUAGUUAAUUUAAUUAAUAAACCCUAAAAAAUCCUAAACCCUAAUUUAAUUAUUUUUUAAUUUAAUAGUUAAUUUAAUUAAUUAACCCUCAAGUCUAAUUAAAUUAAUUUUUUCCUUAAAAAAUACUAAAAUCCUAAACCCUAAAAACCAUAAACCACUAAACCGUAACCUUAAAAUAAUAAAAAAACCUUAACCCUAAAACCCCUAAACCCUAAUUUAAUUGAUUUUUUUUAAUUUCAUGGUUAAUUUAAUUAAUUAACCCUCAACUCUAAUUAAAUUAAUUUUUUCCUUAGAAAACACUAAAACCAUAAACCCUAAAAACCCUAAACCACUAAACAUUAACUUUAAAACAAUCAAAAACCCUAACCUUAAAAAACCCUAAACCCUAAUUUAAUUGAUUUUUUUUAAUUUCAUAGUUAAUUUAAUUAAUUAACCCUCAACUCUAAUUAAAUUAAUUUUUCCCUUAAAAAAUACUAAAACCCUAAACCCUAAAAACACUAAACCACUAAACCCUAACCCUAAAAAAAGGGUCAAAACGCUCCCCCAAUGAAGCGUUUUGCUGACACGUCCCCUAACUUCACGCCAACGUGGACACGCUUUUGGGGAAAAUAGUCCUUUUCGGUAAAUAAUCAAAAAAUCGGGCCAUUUCGAUAAAUAACGAAAUAAAAGGGCUUUUUUUUAGUAAAUUGCCCGUGUGUGUGUUGUUUUUUUUUCCACACACACAUAUAUAUAUACUAAAUAAAAUAAAAAAAUAAUCAUAAAUAUCUUAUUAAAAUAUUAAUAAAAUAAUAUUUAUCUAAUUAAUUAAUUUAAAAUAUCAUCAACAUAAUCAUUACAUUCUAGAAUUCCCUCUCUUACUAAGUGACCAUUUUGCCCUUCAUAAUCUUUUAAAAUUCCAUCAUUGAGUCAUCACUUAAUUUGGGAAAAUUAUGAUUUAGUCCCUCAUAAUUCUUCACCUAUUCGAUUUGUUCCUAAUUCAUCUAUUUUCCUUAGUUUCUAGUUUAUUCCACCCCUAAAAUAUUUGCACUAUUGGUCCUUCAAAUUUUUCAUAUUUACACUUUAACCCCUCAAAUUUUGAGUAUUUACUCUUGGGCAACAAAACUUUUCUUACUUUUACAAUUUAGUCCUUUCUUUAAUUAAUAAUGUAAUAUAUCAUAAUAUACUUCCCAAUGUUGACAUAAUAAAAUUUCCCUUUUUGUCACUUUAUUUCCUUACUUAACUACAUCAAGGAUAAUAUCUUACUUUCUUACUGUAGUAAUUUUCAGGGUAUUACAUUUUUCUCCCCCUUAAAAAAAAAUUUGUCCUCGAAAUUUCCUUGUUUUCUUUUGAUCAUAAACUUCAUUAUAUUCUAUAGUUCCUUUCUGUAUAUAUAUCUAGUUUAUCAUUUAUAUCCAUUCUCAAUCCAUUCGUUUCACAAUUUAUUUUUAAUUCAAAGAUAAUUCCUUACCUUGUAACAAAAAUUAUUUAACUUUCUAACAGAGGCGCAGUAAAUUGAACUGAACAAUUUGGAUAUAAGGAACUGAUACAGAGGUGCAUUAUUAUGCACUAUUAAACAGAGAGUACUGAAGUGCUAUACAGAGAGCAUAGAUGUGCUAAGCGGAGAGCACUAAUGUGCUAAUAAUCAGAGAGCACUAACGUACUAAUAAUCAGAUAGCGCGCUAGAGUUCCUUAAUGUCAUGCCACUAAUAUCCUAGUAGUUCUAAAUUUCGUCUACUUCAGCAUUAAAACUGAAUUUCAUACAUUUAAAUACUUUACAAUUUAAUCCUUGUACCAAUAAUCCAUACAUUUAUAUAUUCUCUAUCUUUGAUACAUGUAAUAUAUUUCAAAAUUCACUAGUCGUUCGUAAUUUACUAAUAAUUCUCAUCAUGUACUUCAUAUAUCACUUUUCAAUUCCAAUUUCACUUUCAUUUUAUUCACAACUCAAUUUAAUUUCACUUUCUCAUCAAUAUACAAUUAAACACUAAUAUUUAUCCAUCACUCAAUUCAAUUUCCAUUCAAUUCAACAAUAACACUUACCUUCUACUUCACUUACCAUACACAUAAUUUAAAUUUAACAUUUAAUAAUAAUUAAUUUGAAUUGUAGUAAUACAACCAUACGCUGAAUAUGUCUAUAUUCAGUGGUAUUACCAUAAUUCAAAUUAUAAAAACUAUAAUAAAUAAUAGACAUCAAACAUGUAACAUUAUAAGUCAUAUGUGUUAAUUUAUGCUUUAAUUUCAUAUCUCAACAAUAGUCUUUCAUCAAAUGGCAUCAUAUAUAAUCUAUAUUAUCUUUAAUCAAAUCAUGAACCUUUGGUUCAAGCUUUCAAUCACAUAUCUCAAUUUCAAUUCACAUUUCAAUUCAUAAUUCCACUUUUUCAUACUUUCAAUAGUUCAAUCGAUCAAAUUCAUUCAAUUUUCUCAUUUCAUUUAUUCAACUGAUUUCAAUAUCAACAAUUUGAUAUUUUAGCAAAUUCAUGAACCUUAGGUUUAUGCUUCAAAUCUCACAUCUCAAUUCAAUUCACAAUUCAACUCAUAAUUUCUUUCUCAUAUUUUUAAUAGUACGAUCAAUCAAAUUUAUUUAAUUUUCUCAUUUCAGUUAUUCACCCUAUUAACAAACUUGGACUUUGACGGAUACAAGGAUUCCAAUCCAAACACACCAGUACGACACAUUGUACCGAAAAUGGUACAUAGUACCUGAUCAGUAUAGGACACAUAAGUGCAUGAAACGACACACGAGGUGCCUGAUACGACACACGAGAUGCUUGAAAUACGACACACGAGGUGCCUAAAAUAUGACACAUAAAGUGCCUGAUCGGCAAAACCGAUAAAUCCCGUACUCUUCCAAAUCCUAUGGCAUGCCAAUUAUAUCCGACUAGCCUGACAAGUUAAUAGGGUAUUCAAUUUUCAUUUGAAUUUCACUUAAUAUUCAUAUUUACCCCUAUUAACAAGACUCGGACUUUGACGGAUACACGGAUUCCAACCAAACACACCAGUACGGCACUUAGUGCCUCAUCGGCUUUGCCGAAGUAAACAGUAACAGUACAGUACUUAGUACCUUAUCGAAUUAAACCCAUGUAACAGUAGCAGUAUGACACACAUGGUGCCUCAUCGACUAGAUGUUGAAGUAACAGUACGACACUUAUAGUGCCUCAUCGACUCAAGGUCGAAGUAUCCCUGAAUACUUCCAAUCCUAUAGCAUGCCAACUAUAUUCGACUUAGCCCGGUACAGUUAAUAGGGUAUUCAAUUCACUUUCCGGUUUCCAAUCAAAACACAUUUCAAUUAAUCACAUAUAUUCUCAAUUCAAUACAAUUCAAUUUACUUUUCAAUAACAAAUAUUCUAAUUUCGUAAUAAUCACAUAUUCAUAUCAAUUUUAUCACUUUCCCAAUCAAUAAAAUUUUCAAAUAUAACAUAUAUCCAAUAUUCUAUUUCCACAUCAAUCACAUAUAUCUAUACAAAUUCAAUUCAAUAUUGAUACUUACCUUAAAAUUUUACUUACUAUACACAUAAAUUUAAAUAUAACAUUUAUUCAUACCUUUAUGAAUUCCGAGUCAUCAUAAUCAACUUUUACUCAUAUACUUGAGUAUCGCUUUCAACAUUAUCAGAAUUAGCUCGGUUAGGAAAGCAUCUCUAUCUUUAAGUAAAACAAAUCUCAUCAGAGUCGGAAGAUAUCAUAUUAUCACAGGUUAUAUAAUGACAUGUAUUUCUAGACUUCACAUAUGUUACGUUACGUCUGAGAACCGACUAAACCGUAGCUCUGAUACUAAUAAAUGUAACACCCCCUACUUGUAUCCGUCACCAGAAUAGGGUACGAGGCAUUACCGGAGUUACAAAUUUAUUUAUCAGACAUUUUAUUUCAUCUAACAUUCAUAUUUGGUACCAAUCAAAAUCAAACAUAUUACCCCCUAAACAUACUUAUUUUCCUUGUAUCAACAUAUCAAAGAUAAUCACAUAUUUACAUGUCAUGAUAAAUAUCAUUCUCUUGCCAUUUCUUCAUAAACAUAAAUCAGCUAACUCAUUAUAUCAAUAUUUCAUGUACCAUCAACUCGUAUUUCCUUAUAUCACAUAAUUAGGUUUCACAAACUUAUCUGGCUAAAUUGCAAAAAUACCAAGAUUCAGGGGUAUUUCAGUAAUUUUAUAUUUUCCUCGAUUUUUCAACCAAUCUUGAUCUAAAUUAAUAAUUUCAUUCAAUUUAUUAAUUUAGACAAUAAAAUAAUUCAUUUCACUCAGUUUGGUCAUUUUUUAUAUUUUUACAAAAUUGCCCCUAAAGUUUUACUUUUAUUCAAUUUAGUCCCCGAGCCUAAAACAUGCAAUUUAACCACUUUAAUGUAAUCCAUGCUAACUAAAUAUUCAUAUAUAUUUUCCUCCUCCUCCUCUCCAUUCCACAUCCUUAAUGUAUAUAUAAUUCUACUAUUUUCUCAUAUGCUCAUAUCAAGCUGUCCACUUGAGUCAUAGUCACUAAAUUAUUUAUAUCAUGAGCUACAGAAUUCUAAAUUAAGAACCCCUUGAUGUUUCUGAAACUAUACGCAAAUAUAUUUCUACCAUAAAAAUUUCAGAAAUUAUAAUUUAGCCAUUAAGUACAGUAAAAUCUUCAAACUUACCCCUAUUCUGCUGUUUAACAGCUUCGACCUUUCCUUUCUAAAAAUUAAUUAUCUUUUAGUAAAGAAUUUGGAUGAUGUUUCUGUUUGUUUCUCUUAAAAAUAGACUCAUUAAAGAUUUAAAAAUAUAAAUUUAAGACCCUAAUUAUUUUUCUCAAAUUUUUUUUAUGAUUUUCCAAAAUCAAAACAGAGGAACCCGAAAUUAUUCUAACAUUGUCUCAUAAAAUUUAUUAUAUCUCACAAUUUACAAUUCCAUUACUUAAACCGUUUCUUCUAUGAAAAACUAGACUCAAUAAACUUUAAUUUCAUAUUUUAUUCAACCUCUAAUUUGAUUUCCAAUUUUUUUUUUGUGAUUUUUCAAAUUUUAACUACUGCUGUUGUCCAAAACUAUUUUAGUGCAACAUAUUGAUUACCAAGUUUAUAACACCCUUAUUUCCAUUCUCUAUAAUAUUUCCCACCAUUUUCUCUUAUUUUCUUUCACUAAUAUAUCAAGAACAUAGAACCUUAUAUAAGAAAACUCUACCUUAACAUCAUUUUCAUGCUUUUGAUAUUACCUUACAUGAGAAACUCUACUUAAAAAAUAUUGAAGUCUUAAAGUUCUUACCUUGUCCUAUUGAUUUCAAUCUUUAACUUGAUUUUUCUCUCUCCUCCAACUUCUAUUUCUUGAAUCCAACUUGAUAUUUUAACUCCCCUUAGUCUCCUUAACAUUUUUCUCUCUUGGCAGCAAUGGAAAUUCUUUUGAUUUUUAGGUGAAAAUGGUGAAUUUUUUGUGGAAGGACUAAUUUGUAAAGAAAACAAAACUUUCUUUAUUCUCUUGUCUUCUAACGUAAAAUGCAUGGAAAGAUGAUGGAUGGUGUGUGUGUGUUGUUUUUUUUUCCACACACACAUAUAUAUACUAAAUAAAAUAAUAAAAUAAUCAUAAAUAUCUUAUUAAAAUAUUAAUAAAAUAAUAUUUAUCUAAUUAAUUAAUUUAAAAUAUCACCAACAUAAUCAUUACAUUCUAUAAUUCUCUCUCUUACUAAUUGACCAUUUUGCCCUUCAUAAUCUUUUAAAAUUCUAUCAUUGAGUCAUCACUUAAUUUGGAAAAAUUACGAUAUAGUCCCUCAUAAUUUUUCACCUAUUUGAUUUGGUCCUAAUUCAUCCAUUUUCCUUAGUUUCUAGAUUAUUCCACCCCUAAAAUGUUUGCACUAUUGGUCCUUCAAAUUUUUUAUAUUUACACUUUAACCCCUUAAAUUUUGAGUAUGUACUCUUGGGCAACAAAACUUUUCUUAUUUUUACAAUUUAGUCCUUUCUUUAAUUAAUAAUGUAAUAUAUCAUAAUAUACUUCCCAAUGUUGACAUAAUAAAAUUUCCCUUUUUAUCCCUUUAUUUUCUUAGUUAACUAUAUCAAAGAUAAUAUCUUAUUUUUUUAUUGUAAUAAUUUUCAGAGUAUUACAGUAAUAAAUUAUUUUUUUAGCAAAUAAAGCCUCAAAAUAAUUACAUUAUUAUUUCAGGAUUAUUAUGAAUAAACUUACUAUCAAAUCCACAGCUUCAUGCGCAACAAUCUAGGAGAGGUUUUGUUAGAGAUCCUCCAUGUGCAAGUUGUAGGCAUGUUGAAGAGUCUAUUAUUUAUGUUUUGCGAAGUUGUGCCAAUACAAGAGAAAUGUGGUAGUCCCUUUAAGGAUUUGGGGGGAAUUUCUUUAUACUCCAUUGCCAGAGUAGAUCUCGUUGAUUUAAAAAAAAUUAUUAUUUUAAAGUUUAUUUUAUAUACUAUAGAUUAAUUGAUGCAUUAUUUUUCACUUAAAAUAUAAUUUUUUAACUAAUUGAAUUUUAGCUCUAUUAACGUAUGUAUUUAUUAACUGGGAUUACAUUAAAUUUAAGAAAAAAAAGAAAAAGAAAAAAGAGAGAGGAUGUCAUUGAAGUCGGUAUAGAUAAUUACAAAAGCAUUACAAUCAUGACUUAAAGACGUGAGCUUUUAAAAUUAUAUCUAUGAGUUGAUAAGACUUAUUCAAAUAUCUAAUUUGUCGCCUUCUUCCCAUCUCCCUUAUCCAAUUAUAUUUAAUGGUUUUUCCAUUUUUAAUUCCUACAUCCCUUAGAACUAUUAAGUGUAACAUAAAAAAUUAAAUGGGUAAAAUCAUAAACCGGCCACUUGUCCGUGGGCCUCCACUCCAAGUAACGUAUCCCGGGAAAGCGACGAAAAUAAAGUGGAGGAUAAGUUAUACCGAAGCCGAGGCCAUGGGGGCCCUCCACAAUCUCGAACCCUCCUCCUUAUUCACGACGUAAUUCGACACCUUUCUCCAACAAUCGUCUCUUUGUAUGGGCCCCAUUCACAGACCAUCGGGUCCCGCUAUCCACGUGUCACUAUUCCAGUGGUACCAUGCUCUCAUGAUAGUGCCACACUGAUUUUUUAAUUUCUUUUUCGUCUUUUGACUCUUAUUUCACACCAAUAAAGCAUAUCUUCACUCGCUUUCUUUGCUUGACACGUAGGAUCAAGGACAGGUGUCGAGUAGAGAAAGCGAGUAAGGUAGAAUCAAUUAGGGGUGCCAGAGUAGUGUUGUUAAGACAUAUUUCUCAAAGUUUAAUGCAGAGCUCGGUUACAUGGCGCUGGAUUGCCCAUCCCAUUUAAAUUGCGUUAAUUUUUUAAUGUUUUCUCUUUUCCCUAAACUGCGUCAGAUCCGUGUUUGAAAAUACUAUAAAAACCCAGUUCCUCUCGUUUCUUAAAAUCCAUCAAUCUGUGUAGCCAACUUUGUACGUACAAGUGAAGUGAUCCACAAUCUUGAUACGGUAAUACGUUAGGUAGCUUUCAGCAUACUUGUUUUGAGUUUAGUGGUUGUAGAUAAAGAAAAAAUGGCUGAGGAGCAUACCAAGGUUGGUGGUGAGGAAGCAGUGGAGAGCAAGGAGCGAGGGAUGUUUGAUUUCUUGGGGAAGAAAGAAGAUGAGAAGCCUCAACCUCAAGAGGAGGUGGUCGCCACCCAGUUUGAGAAAGUCAAGAUAGAAGAGGAACAUAAGGAAGAUGAGAAGAAACACAGUCUCCUGGACAAGCUUCACCUAUCCAAUAGCAGCUCCAGCUCUGUAAUUACUUUUUUUUACUUCCUUGCUUACUAUUCAUAGUUCAAACAGUCAAAUCUUUUUCAUAUAUAUUAUAACAUGCGUUGUAUGAAUGUUCAGUCUAGUGACGAGGAAGAAGGUGAAGGCGGAGAGAAGAUGAAGAAGAAGAAAAAGGAGAAGGGAAAGAAAGAACAGGACAGUGCAGUCCCAGUGGAGAAGUGCGAUGAGGCAGCAACAGUUCACCACUCAGAGACGCCGAAAAAGAAGGGUUUCAUGGAUAAGAUCAAAGACAAACUCCCAGGACAGCAUAAGAAAGAUGAAGAGGACACCACCCAACCACCAGCUGCUGCUGCCCCAACUGAGAACGACCACCAUGAAGGAGAGACAAAAGAGAAGAAGGGAUUUUUGGUGAAAAUCAAGGAGAAAAUUCCUGGUUACCACUCCAAAACAGAGGACGAGAAGGAAAAAGAGACCA
rnacentral:lncRNA from 1 species